CCAAGCAAGAUGGAGCAAAAUCUGCUUCUGCUGCAUUAAAGUACAAUGCCAUCUCUCAGCAGGAAAAUGGUAAAGGUUCUUCUACCUCCCUAGGCAGGAAAGAAGCAGCCAAUACUUUAGCCGCCGCACACUAUGCCGCCACCGAGAAGUCCAUCAAGAAGGCCGAAACCGCCAAGACACCUGCAAAGGUCGUGGCUGCCAAGCGAGACGCAGCAAAGUCUGUUGACAAUGCAUUAAAGUAUGGUGCCAUCUCUCGGAAAGCAGCCGGUACAAGUUCUUCUACCUCCCCCAAUAGGAAAGAAGGCACCACUGAUGCUGCUAAGAUGUUCACCAAGAAGGCUGAAACCGCUACCACACCUGAAGAGGCCGCGGCUGCCAAGCAAGCUGCAGCCAAGUCUACCGCUGCUGCAUCAAAGUAUGGUGUCAUUUCUCAGCAAGUAGCUGGUACAAGUUCUUCUACCUCCCCUAGCAGGAAAGAAGCUGCCGGUACCUUGGCAGGUGCUCGCAUAGCUGCUGCCGAGAAGUCCAUCAAGAAGGCUGAAACCACCACAAGACCUGAAGAGGCAACAUCCGCUAAGAAGGAUGCCGCGAAAUCCGAGGCUGAUGCAAUGAAGUACGGGGCCAUCUCUCAGCAGGCCGCCGGCAAAAAUGGUGCCUAAGUGGUGCCUUAAACACCUAUUCACACGCAACAUCAUCUACAUACUACCAUGCAUGCAAAAUAGCAGCAUUCAGAUACCACAUUAUGCUAAUUCUCAUGCAUGCACGCUUUGUUUAAACGUUCCCAUUACGAAUCAUGUAUUAAUGUCUUGCUUGUUUUAUUUUUAGUAGUAAGACACGCUUGACUUGCUUUAAAAAAAAUACAACAAUCGACGUAUACAUGUAUUAUCUGAAAAUUAAUAAUAUGAGUUCCACCGCAAUUUGUUUCUUUUUGUCAUAAUUUGGGUGCAAUCAAUGCACACAUCCAAUACACAAAAUUGGACGACUCAAUGUGUUAUGGCUCCAUGGAGCGGCGAAUCAUGUUUUAUUGUCUUGCUUGUUUUACUUUUAGUAGUAAUGUCUUGCUGGUCAAUGUAUUAUGGCUCCAUGGAGCGGCAUAAUGAUAUAUGAUAUAUCUUCACUACUUCAAAAAGAACUUAAGGUUUUGUCAUACAUCUUUCCUUCAUCCAUCCUCCCUACGAAUCCUUCCUGUUUUGAUUUUUUCUCCCAUCUUUGAUUUUUCUCCCCAUUGAUUCUACCUAAAAACCACCUCAAUGUCACAUGUUUACUGUAUAUGUCAAGGCCUCCUUUGGUUCAUAGGGUAGAAAAAACAUAGGAAUAGGAAAGUCAUAGGAAAUGAGAUGACAUGUAUCUCAAAUCCUAUGAUUGGGAAUAGGAAAGGAGAUGCCCUUUGAUUCACAUCAUAGGAUUUUUUCAUUGAAUCUAGGCUAAUGUUUAUUUUCCUAUGAAAUGUGAAGGAGAGGAAGAAUUCCUCCAUAGGAUUAGGAUUCCAUUCCUACAAACCAAAGGACUCUAAAGGAAUUUUUCCUAUAGAAAUCCUAUCCUAUGAAAUUCUUACAAGAUUCCUCCAAAUCAAAGGAGGCCCAAGUGGUUGUGAUGAGACAGUGGCUGGGCACUUCAGAUUUAUUCCCGUAACUGACUGUCAAAUUGAGUCAUCUGUCAUCCUUUCGAUGAUUGUAAGAAAGUUAUAUGUUUAUUGUAUGUGCCAAGUGGUUGUGAUUAUCGUUACCGGCCACAAAGUUAUAUUUUCUUGUCUUAACGAAGGGUUGCAUACAAUGCGUGUAGCUCUUGACGCCUGAUAACCCACAAGUAUAGGGGAUCGCAACAGUUUUUGAGGGUAGAGUAUUCAACACAAAUUUAUAGAUUCGACACAAGGGAGCCAAAGAAUAUUUGUAAGUAUUAACAACUGAGUUGUCAAUUCAACCACACCUGAAGAUUAAUUAUCUGCAGCAAAGUGAUCAGUAGCAUAGUAGUAUGAUAGUUUUGAUAGUAGUAGCAACAUCAACAGUAACGGUAACAGUGGUAGCAAUGGUUUUGUAGCAGUGACAAUAGUAACAGCAGCAGCAGUAACUUAGCAAGAACAAUAUGUACGAAAAUCGUACGCAUUGGAUCGGUGAUUUGUUGGAUGAUAUUCAUCAUGUGACAGUUACAACCUAGGACGAUACGGCACUAGCUCCAGUUCAUAAAUAUAAUGUAGGCAUGUAUUCUAUAAAUAAUCAUACGUGCUUAUGAAAAGAACUUGUAUGACAUCUUUUGUCCUACCCUCCUGUGGCAGCGGGGUCCUAUUGGAAACUAAGGGAUAUUAAGGCCUCCUUUUAAUAGAGAACCAGAAUAAAGCAUUAACACACGUGAAUACAUGAACUCCUCAAACUACGGUCAUCACAGGGAAGUGUCCCGACUAUUGUCACUCCGGGGUUGCCGGAUCAUAACACGUAGUAGGUAACUAUAACUUGCAAGGUUGGAUCUAGAACAUAGAUAUAAUGGUGAUAACAUAAGUCAUAGCAACAUCAAUCAAGAACAUAAUGGAUACUAGGGAUGAAGCCCUAACAAAACUAACUCAAUUACAUGAUGAAUCUCAUCCAACUCCUCACUGACCAGCGAGCCUACGAAGGAAUUACUCACUCCUGGUGGGGAGCAUCAUGGAAUUGGCGAUGGAGAAGGGUUGGUGAUGACGAAGAUCGAAGAUCCCACUCUCUGGAGCCCCAAACGGACUCCAAAUCUAGCCUCCCGAUGAAGAACAGGAGAUGACGGCGGCUCCGUCUUGUGGAUCGUGAUAAUUCUUUCUCCCUGAUUUUUUUCUGGAAAAAUAGGAUUUUAUAGCGUCGGAUUCAGGGCCUGCGGGGCCACCAGGUGGGGACAACCCACCUGGGUGUGCUUGGAGGGGGGGGGGGGCUGGUGGGUUGUGCCCAUCCAGGUGCCCCCCUCCGAUUGUUCUUGGCUCCAGAAAUUCUCUGUAUUUGUAUAAAAAUUCCUCGCAAAGUUUUGUUCCAAUCCGAAAACUUUUAUUUCUGCACAAAAAAAACACCAUGGUAGUUUUGUUGGAAACAACGUCAGUCCGGGUUAGUUUCAUUCAAAUCAUGCAAAUUAGAGUCCAAAACAAGAGGAAAGUGUUAGGAAAAGUAGAUACGACGGAGACGUAUCAACUCCUCCAAGCUUAAACCUUUGCUUGUCCUUAAGCAAUUCAGUUGAUAAACUGAAAGUGAAAAAAAAUUAUGAACUCUUUUGCUCUUGUUUUCAUAAAUAAGCUUAAACAUCACCCAGUGUCGGUGUCGAAACCGGCGGAUCUCGGAUAGGGGGUUCCGAACUAUGCGUCUAGGCGGAUGGUAACAGGAGACAAGGGACACGAUGUUUACCCAGGUUCGGGCCCUCUCGAUGGAGGUAAAACCCUACUCCUGCUUGAUUAAUAUUGAUGAUAUGGGUAGUACAAGAGUAAAUCUACCACGAGAUCAAGGAGGCUAAACCCUAGAAGCUAGCCUAUGGUAUGAUUGUUGUUGUCCUACGGACUAAAACCCUCCGGUUUAUAUAGACACCGGAGAGGGUUAGGGUUACACAGAGUCGGUUACAAUGGUAGGAGACCUACAUAUCCGUAUCACCAAGCUUGCCUUCCACGCCAAGGAAAGUCCCUUCCGGACACGGGACGAAGUCUUCAAUCUUGUAUGUUCAUAGUCCGGGAGUCCGGCUGAAGGUAUCGUCCGGCUAUCCGGACACCCCCUAAUUCAGGACUCCCUCAGAGCCCCCGAACGAGGCUUCAAUGACGACGAGUCCGGCGCGCAAAUUGUCUUCGGCAUUGCAAGGCGGGUUCUCCUUCAAUUUCUGUGUACCUGCUGAAUAAUGUCCGGUUUCUUAUAAAUGUAGCGCUCCUCGGCUUCCACGCCCAAUAAUGGCCGUCUUCCACGUGUCAAAUGAAUACGAAAAGUCUGGGUGUUUUUACAUUCACACCCCCAGCCGCGUAAAUGAGCUGCCUAUUUAAAGGGACGGGGAUUUAGAUCCAAACCACACCUUCUCCUCUCCGCGAGUUUCAUCAGAGCGCAUCCGACAAAGGACCGUUCCAUCAUGGCCAGCGGUCGCAGCUCCUCCUCUCGCCCUUCCAGCCCUCAUCCUGGAGAUUGGGAGAGAUGCUCCGUCCCGCACAUCGAGCUAGUGUCGCUUCGGACCAAAGGGAUUUCUUCCUCCUGCCUAUAUGGUCCCGGUUCGAGCCGGACUUGCCACCUAUAAUGGCGGAGAGCAAGCGGAGAACGCCCCCAAUCCCUCCAAAGGAGAGCGGGUAUGCCUUGUCCCUUAUUUAAUAAGAGGGCUCGGAUUUCCAAUUCAUCCAUUUCUCCGGGGGCUCCUGGAGUUCUACGGCCUCCAGCUGCACAACCUCAUGCCUGUCUCCGUAUUGCAUAUUGCGGGCUUCGUAGCCCUUUGCGAGUUGUUUUUGGGUGUUGAGGCUCAUUUCGCGCUGUGGAAGAGGCUAUUUUGCCUUGUGCCCUGUUCUUAGGAGGGGUCAAUAUAUCAAGUGGGCGGAGCCAAAGUGUGGUGUAUCGCCAGGACCGGAUAUCUAUCCGGAACCCCAAAGAAGGCGUCCGAGGACUGGCCUUCAGAAUGGUUUUAUAUAGAGGACGUCCCGUUGCCGGAUCCUGUUCGGAUCGGCCUCCCUGAGUUCAACAGCGCUCCCCUGAAGAAACGUCUAAGCUGGCACCCACGGAGCCCUCAGAGAGAAAGUGACAAGGACGUUCUUUACCUGAUGGGCCGGAUAAGAUUAUUAGCUCAUUCCGGACUAACCAUGAUCGGAGUCAUGGCCGCAUGCAUCAUGCGAGGGGUGCAACCGCUUCAGUACAGAGGCCACCCCAUGUGGGACUUCAACGGGGAGGAUGAUGCCACCCGUCACGGCCGUAAGGGGCCGGACUCGGCUACCGCUCUAGUAAAGAUCUUGUCCGCUUUGUACAAGGGAGAAGAGGAGGAAUUUCUCCGCGUCAACCCACAGGGUGGAUUUACCAUGUACAAUCCCCCAAGUUGGGUAAGUGGGCAAUUUUACUUGCCCGUCUGUUUUGUAUUCCCAUCAUUAAAUAUAUAGUCUAACGACUUCAACGCAGGAACUGCGCCAGGAAGUAAAGGACAUAAACAGCCCGCCUCCACAGCCUGAGGACCCAGAGUUGUCCCUCGAUCCGGCCUCCGAAGAGGAUCCGGACUUAUCCAUGGAGUUAAUUGAUGGGGUGUUUUAUCAAUUGAGCAAGGACAAUGCCUUGGUGGCCAUUAAGGCCGAUUACCCGGGGCUGCUCCCGGCCUCCCAGGUAACUGAGACCGAAGUCCUAGCACCUCAAAAAGGGAUCCGCCCUCGCGUGUUUUUCAGUUUCCUGACAACAACCGUGUUUUGUAGGGGAGGUUCUUGAGACGGGAGGCCGAGCCUGCGGUGACUAGCCAACGAGGGGCCACAGGGCCCCGUGGGAUGAAAAGAAGUGCAGUCCGGACUGAGGCACCGGCGCAGAGGUAUAGCGCGCCUUCUUAUUCCCAGGUGUUAUUCCUUCAAGGCAUAUUAACACUCGUGCUCUUUUCAGGACAAAAAGACCCCGCCGGACUAUAUCCAGAGAGGCUGCCAAUCGCGCCUCCACCAGCCAGGAUCCAAAGCCUGGUCCGGAGACGGAGGCGAACACGAGGCGCGCACCGGACGCUCCUCCAACAGAUGAUGCGGACAGGCUGUCCGCCACUAAUUCCGAGGUGGAGAGUGCCAUGAACCACAGGCGUCGCCGGACAGUUCUUCGCGACGCUUGUUUCUCCCAAGAGGCAUUGGACGCCUUCAAUUCGGGAGAUGCGUACCUUCGUGCCGCUCAAAAUGGUCUAGCCAGAGCCACGGAGCAAUAUGUAAAAGACAUACGGGUGAGAAAAUUUAAUGGUUAUAUAUAUCAGUAGCCCCCGAGACUUGAAACAGUUAGAAGAACUGAUUUAAGGAUCAUUCAUAAUGCAGGUUCUUGCGGAAAAGAAUACCCAACUGUCCCAGGAGCUAGAAGAGUGCAAAGCCCAACUUGAGGCCGCACUAGCCGCGACAGGGGAGCCCAAGGAGACCCCCUCUGGUAAUAUGUGCUUCAAAAAGAGAAGUAUUUUGUGAAGUGCGGCGUAUGUGCAAAUCUGACGAAUGAAAUUGCAGAUGGCGCCGGAUUAGAUCCGGAAAAGCAACAAAUCCUACGCCAGCUAAAGGCUGGUGAGAGCGUGCUGACAAAGGUGAGGCGGGAGAAGAACGAUCUCCAAUAUGCCAACACCAAGCUGGGCGUUGAACUGAAAGAUGUUUGUGCCCAGUUGUCAGACUCCGCUAAGGAGAAUCAGCGGCUUCGACGCGGCAUAUUUAGUAAGUGCUUAAACGAACUUUGAAUAAAGAGUUCGACAAGGAAGUCGACUAACGGAGUAAUGUCUGUAGGUAUGCUAACAGGUCGUCCUGCAGAGGAGAUGCCCGGUUCUAUGGGUGACCUUCUUCUUGAGCUCUUGCAACUGCACGAGCGAGUUCAACAGGUGAUGCAGGGCGUCGCCCAGGCCUUGUGGCCAUCCAUCUCCAUGCCCGAAGGACUUGGAGAGGUUGCAGAGAAGCUGAAGGGAGCGCGGCGGCGCUUCCGAUUGUGGAAGAUAUCGGCCUGCCGUCAAGGCGCUAGGGAGGCCUGGGCCAUGGUGAAGACGCGGUACACGAAGGCUGACCCAAACCACAUGGCCGAGGUCGGACCUGUGGGGCCCGAUGGGAAGGAGAUCCCUGUAAGCUUAGUAUACGGCCAAGUAGAAUUGCCCGCAAAGUAUUCCCAGCAGGACUGUAAGCUAGACAGCAUGUUAGAUGGUAUUGAAGAGGAAUACAAUUAGUCAUAAUGACUAUGUAAUUUUAAUUGACAUGUGUAAUGCCUUCUAGCCGGAUUGUAGAUCGUUUUUCAUGGCCGACCUUUUUGCUUCGACCUCGGGACCUGACGGUCCGGAGUGUGUCCGAAUACCCUUGCGGUUAUAUAAGAACCGGGGUAUGCAUGGAGACCAGGCGUAGGGGUCAUUAGUGCUUGAACAGACAAGUGCCCGACUAGUUAUGUUAUAUUACAUGGUUAGUAAGAAACAUCUUCCAGGGAGAAUAGUUCCGUUAGGGGUUCCUUUCCCUGGGAGGCAUGCCCUAAAGUGCAUGUCCAUUCUGCGAAAAGAGACGCAGGAAAAAACAUCUGGGGGCGCAUAGAUAAAUAAGUGAAAAAAAUCAUCUUUAGUUCACCGACCGAAUAUUCCCUUAAGGACGCUAGCUUUCGGCUUCACCCAGUCUGAGGUACACAUCGGGCUGACCCGGCAGUAACAAUCGCAGAGGUGCUCCCUUUACCACCUAGCCGAACAAUCGGAAACAUAGGGCUAAGCACAGGAGCCAGGCAACCCAGCUUGGCUAAAACUUAAGUCAUAUCGAUACAUAUGAUGGUGAAUAAAAGGUACAUGCGGAAGUGUGACACAUGUGUUGGGCAUGAAGCCCGUAUAAGCUUCUGUUCAAAGAAGCCCCCAGGUUUAGUGAGCGCGGAUAGCGCGUCACUUGAUGAGCCUUUAAAGGCUAUAAGAGAAAGGAGGGGGAGAAGGAGAAAAUGGAAGACAGAAAAUAUAAAAAAUGGACAGAGGAAGGAGACGAACAUAGAAUCCGGCGCUAGGCAUAGAAUCUUCGGAGACGGGCUGCGUUCCAUGGGUUCGGCUCGAGUCGGUUAUCCGAUGCAUCUCACAGGCGGUACGUUCCACCAGUCAGGACUUGGUCAAUUAUGAAGGGACCUUCCCACUUGGGCUGGAGUUUGUCCUUUUUCUUGUCCGGCAGGCGUAGAACUAGUUCGCCAACAUUGUAAUUUUUGGCCCGUACUUCUCUGCUUUGAUAUCUUCGAGCCUGCUGUUGAUAGAAUGCGGAACGGGCUUUUGCCACGUCACGCUCCUCCUCCAAGGCGUCCAAACUGUCCUGCCGAUCGAGCUCGGCUUCUCUUUCUUCGUACAUGUGCACUCAAGGUGAGUCAUGAAUUAUAUCGCAGGGCAAAACUGCUUCUGCGCCGUACACCAUGAAGAAUGGUGUGUAUCCGGUGGUGCGAUUCGGCGUGGUCCGCAGCCCCCAGAGUACGGAGUCGAGCUCCUCUACCCAGUGCGUGUUAGAUUCCUUAAGGGACCGCACUAAUCUGGGUUUGAUGCCGCUCAUGAUAACACCAUUUGCGUGUUCGACCUGUCCGUUAGUUUGUGGGUGAUAGACGGAAGCAGAAUCGAGCUUGAUGCCCAUGUUUUUGCACCAGAGUUUUACCUCAUCGACCGUAAAGUUCGUACCGUUAUCAGUGAUGAUGCUGUGGGGGACGCCGUAACGGUGUACGACCCCGGAUAUAAAGUCUAUCACUGGUACAGAUUCGGCCGUCUUAAUAGGCUUGGCCUCUAUCCAUUUGGUGAACUUAUCCACCAUGACCAGUAAGUAUUUUUUCUUGUGGGUUCCGCCUUUAAGGGGUCCAACCAUGUCAAGCCCCCAGACCGCGAAGGGCCAAGUGAUGGGGAUAGUUUGGAGGGCGGUGGGUGGCAUAUGGCUUUGGUUUGGCAAAAGCUGGCAACCGACGCAUCGUUGGACUAAGUCCUGAGCGUCUGCCCGGGCCGUUGGCCAAUAAAAGCCUGUACGGAAAGCCUUGCUUACGAGGGACCAAGCUGCGGUGUGAUGACCACCGAGUCCGGCAUGAAUUUCAGCCAGCAAGUUCCGCCCAUCCUCCUCAGAGAUGCACCUUUGAAGGACUCCGGUAGUGCUUUUCUUAUAAAGCUCUCCCUCAUGGACUUUAUAGGCUUUAGAUCGCCGCACUAUGCAGCGUGCCUCAUUUUGGUCUUCUGGGAGUUCCUGCCUAGUAAGAUAGGCUAGGAAUGGUUCUGUCCACGGGGCGAUGACUGCCAUUAUUACGUGGGCUGAAUAUGUGACUUCAUUGGCAGAGUCUCCAAUUAUGUCAGUGUUGGCUAACGUAGCAGAAAUUCAAAAUUUUCCUACGUGUCACCAAGAUCUAUCUAUGCAGAAACCAGCAACGAGGGGAAGGAGAGUGCAUCUACAUACCCUUGUAGAUCGCUAAGCGGAAGCGUUCAAGAGAACGGGGUUGAAGGAGUCGUACUCGUCGUGAUCCAAAUCACCGAUGAUCCUAGUGCCGAACGGACGGCACCUCCGCGUUCAACACACGUACAGCCCGGUGACGUAUCCCACGCCUUGAUCCAGCAAGGAGAGAGGGAGAGGUUGAGGAAGACUCCAUCCAGCAGCAGCACAACGGCGUGGUGGUGGUGGAGGAGCGUGGCAAUCCUGCAGGGCUUCGCCAAGCACCACGGGAGAGGAGGAAGGAGAGAUGCAGGGCUGCAUCAUAUAGAGGAGAGGAACUCGCGUCUUAUGAGCAGCCCAAACCUCAACUAUAUAUAGGGGAAGGGGAGGGGCUGCGCCCCCUUUAGGGUUUCCACCCCUAGGGGUGGCGGCCAGCCUAGAUCCCAUCUAAGGGAGGCGGCCAAGGGGGAGGGGGAGAGGGAGGCGCACCAGGAUGGGCCUUAGGGCCCAUCUGCCCUAGGGUUUGCCCCCUUCUCCUCUCCCUUGCGCCUUGGGCCCUUGUGGGGGGGCGCACCAGCCCACCUGGGGCUGGUCCCCUUCCACACUUGGCCCAUGAAGCCCUCCGGGGCUGGUGGCCCCACUUGGUGGACCCCCGGGACCCUCCCGGUGGUCCCGGUACGUUACCGAUAAACCCCGAAACUUUUCCGGUGACCAAAACAGGACUUCCCAUAUAUAAAUCUUUACCUCCGGACCAUUCGGGAACUCCUCAUGACGUCCGGGAUCUCAUCCGGGACUCCUAACAACAUUCGGUAACCACAUACAAACUUCCUUUAUAACCCCAGCGUCAUCGAACCUUAAGUGUGUAGACCCUACGGGUUCGGGAGACAUGCAUACAUGACCGAGACGUUCUCCGGUCAAUAACCAACAGCGGGAUCUGGAUACCCAUGUUGGCUCCCACAUGUUCCACGAUGAUCUCAUCGGAUGAACCACGAUGGCAAGGACUUAAUCAAUCCCGUAUACAAUUCCCUUUGUCUAUCUGUACGAUACUCGCCCGAGAUUCGAUCGUCGGUAUCCCGAUACCUUGUUCAAUCUUGUUACCGGCAAGUCUCUUUACUCGUUCCGUAACACAUCAUCCCAUGAUCAACUCCUUGAUCACAUUGUGCACAUUAUGAUGAUGUCCUACCGAGUGGGCCCAGAGAUACCUCUCCGUCACACGGAGUGACAAAUCCCAGUCUCGAUUCGUGCCAACCCAACAGACACUUUCAGAGAUACCCGUAGUGUACCUUUAUAGCCACCCAGUUACGUUGUGACGUUUGGCACACCCAAAGCACUCCUACGGUAACCGGGAGUUGCACAAUCUCAUGGUCUAAGGAAAUGAUACUUGACAUUAGAAAAGCUUUAGCAUACGAACUACUUAGGAUUGGGUCUUGUCCAUCACAUCAUUCUCCUAAUGAUGUGAUCCCGUUAUCAACGACAUCCAAUGUCCAUGGUCAGGAAACCGUAACCAUCUAUUGAUCAACGAGCUAGUCAACUAGAGGCUUACUAGGGACAUGGUGUUGUCUAUGUAUCCACACAUGUAUCUGAGUUUCCUAUCAAUACAAUUCUAACAUGGAUAAUAAACGAUUAUCAUGAACAAGGAAAUAUAAUAAUAAUCAAUUUAUUAUUGCCUCUAGGGCAUAUUUCCAACAGUCUCCCACUUGCACUAGAGUCAAUAAUCCAGUUCACAUCGCUAUGUGACUAACACUCAAGGUCACAUGCCCAUGUGACUAACACCCAAAGAGUUUACUAGAGUCAAUAAUCUAGUUCACAUUUACCAUGUGAUUAACACUCGAUGAGUUCUGGGUUUGAUCAUGUUAUGCUUGUGAGAGAGGUUAUAGUCAACGGGUCUGAACCUUUCAGAUCCGUGUGUGCUUUACAAAUCUCUAUGUCAUCUCCUAGAUGCAGCUACCACGCUCUAUUUGGAGCUAUUCCAAAUAGCUGUUCUACUAUACGAAUCCAGUUUACUACUCAGAAUAAUCUGGAUUAGUGUCAAAGUUUGCAUCGGUGUAACCCUUUACGAUGAACUCUUUUACCACCUCCAUAAUCGAGAAAAUUCCUUAGUCCACUAGUUACUAAGGAUAACUUUGACCGCUGUCCUGUGAUCCAUUCUUGGAUCACUCUUGUACCCCUUGACUGACUCAUGGCAAGGCACACUUCAGGUGCGGUACAUAGCAUAGCAUACUGUAGAGCCUAUGUCUUAAGCAUAGGGGACGACCUUCGUUCUUUCUCUCUAUUCUGCCGUGGUCGAGCUUUAAGUCUUAACUUCAUACCUUACAACUCAGGCAAGAACUCCUUCUUUGACUGAUCCAUCUUGAACACCUUCAAGAUCAUGUCAAGGAAUGUGCUCAUUUGUAAGUACCAUUAAGUGUUUUGAUCUAUCCUUAUAGAUCUUGAUGCUCAAUGUUCAAACAGCUUAAUCCAGGCUUUCCAUUGAAAAAACACUUUCCAAAUAACCCUAUAUGCUUUCCAGAAAUUCUACGUCAUUUCUGAUCAACAAUAUGUCAACAACAUAUAUUCAUCAGAAAUUCUAUAGUGCUCCCACUCACUUCUUUGGAAAUACAAGUUUCUCAUAAACUUCGUAUUCACCCAAAAUCUUUGAUCAUCUCAUCAAAGCAUACAUUCCAACUCGAGAUGCUUACUCCAGUCCUUAGAAGGAUUGCUGGAGCUUUGCAUACUUAUUAGCAUAUUUCAGGAUUGACAAAACCUUCCGGUUGUAUCACAUACAACCUUUCCUCAAAAAUCGUCGAGGAAACAAUGUUUUGACAUCCUAUCUGCAAGAUUUCAUAAAUGAUGCAGUAAUUGCUAAUAUAAUUCCAACAGACUCUUAGCAUCGCUAUGAGUGAGAAAGUCUCAUCGUAGUCAACUCCUUGAACUUGUCGGAAAACAUCUUAAUGACAAGUCGAGCUUUCUUAAUGGUGAUACUUACCAUCAUUGUCCGUCUUCCUUUUAAAAUCCAUAUGUACCUAACAGCCUUACGACCAUCAAGUAGUUCUUCCAAAGUCUACACUUUGUUUUCACAUAUGGAUCCUCUCUCGGAUUAUAUGGCCUUGAGCCAUUUUGGAAUCCAUGCCCACCAUCGCUCCUCCAUAGCUCGUAGGUUCAUCGUUGUCUAGCAACAUGACUUCCAAGACAGGAUUACGUACCAUUCUGAAGCAGUACACAUCCUUGUCAUCCCACGAGGUUUGGUAGUGACUUGAUCUGAAGUUUCAUGAUCACUAUCAUAAGCUUCCACUUCAAUUGGUGUAGGUGCCACAGGAACAACUCCCUGUGCCCUGCCACACACUAGUUGAAGAGAUGGUUCAAUAACCUCAUCAAGUCUCCACCAUCCUCCCACUCAAUUCUUUCGAGAGAAACUUUUCCUCGAGAAAGGACCCGAUUCUAGUAACAAUCCCUUAUUGCUUUCGAAUCUGAGACAGGAGGUAUACCCAACCGUUUUGGGUGUCCUAUGAAGAUGUAUUUAUCCGCUUUGGGUUCGAGCUUAUCGGCCUGAAACUUUUUCACAUAAGCGUCGCAGCCCCAAACUUUUAAGAAAUGACAGCUUAGGUUUCUCUAAACCAUAGUUCAUACGGUGUCAUCUCAUCAGAAUUACGUGGUGCCCUAUUUAAAGUGAAUGUGGUUGUCUCUAAUGCCUAACCCAUAAACUAUUGUGGUAAUUCGAUAAGAGACAUCAUGGUAUGCAUCAUAUCCAAUAGGGUGCAGUUAUGAUGUUCGGACACACCAUCACACUAUGGUGUUCCAGGCUGUAUCAGUUGUGAAACAAUUUCCACAAUGUCUUAAUUCUGUGCCAAACUCGUAAUUCAGAUAUUCAUCUCUAUGAUCAUAUCAUAGAUAUUUUAUCCUCUUGUCACGAUGAUCUUUCAACUUCACCCUGAAAUUACUUGAACCUUUCAAUAAUUCAGACUCGUGAUUCAUCAAGUAAAUAUACUCAACAUCUACUCAAAUCAUCUAUGAAGUAAGAACAUAACGAUAUCCACUACAUGCCUCAGCACUCAUUGGACUGCACACAUCAAAAUGUAUUACUUCCAACAAGUUGCUUUCUAGUUCCAUUUUACUGAAACUGAGGCUUUCAGUCAUCUUGCCCAUGUGGUAUGAUUUGCAUGUCUCAAGUGAUUCAAAAUCAAGUGAGUCCAAAUGGUCCAUUUGCAUGGAGUUUCUUCAUGCAUAUACACCAAUAGACAUGGUUCGCAUGUCUCAAACUUUUCAAAAACGAGUGAUCCCAAAGAUCCAUCAACAUGGAGCUUCUUCAUGCGUUUUAUACCGAUAUGACUUACGUGGCAGUGCCACAAGUAGGUGGUACUAUCAUUACUAUCUUAUAUCUUUUGGCAUGAACAUGUGUAUCACUACGAUCGAGAUUCAAUAAACCAUUCAUUUUAGGUGCAAGACCAUUGAAGGUAUUAUUCAAAUGAACAGAGUAACCAUUAUUCUCCUUAAAUGAAUAGCCGUAUUGCGAUAGACAUAAUCCAAUCAUGUCUAUGCUCAACGCAAACAGCAAAUAACAAUUAUUUAGGUUUAACACCAAUCUCGAUGGUAGAGGGAGCGUGCGAUGCUUGAUCAUAUCAACAUUGGAAACACUUCCAACACAUAUCGUCAGCUCACCUUUAGCUAGUCUCCGUUUAUUCCGUAGCUUUUAUUUCAAGUUACAAACACUUAGCAACCGAACCGGUAUCUAAUACCCUGGUGCUACUAGGAGUACCAGUAAAGUACACAUUAACACAAUGUAUAUCCAAUAUACUUCUAUCGACCUUGCCAGCCUUCUCUUCUACCAAGUAUCUAGGGUAAUUCUGCUCCAGUGGCUGUUCCCCUUAUUACAGAAGCACUUAGUCUCGGGUUUGGGUUCAACCUUGGGUUUCUUCACUAGAGCAGCAGCUGAUUUGCCGUUUCAUGAAGUAUCCCUUCUUGCCCUUGCCCUUCUUGAAACUAGUGGUUUCACCAACCAUCAACAAUUGAUGCUCCUUCUUGAUUUCUACUUUUGUGGUGUCAAACAUCGCGAAUAUCUCAAGGAUCAUCAUAUAUGUCCCUGAUAUAUUAUAGUUCAUCACGAAGCUCUAGCAGCUUGGUGGUAAUGACUUCGGAGAAACAUCACUUUCUCAUCUGGAAGAUCAACUCCCACUCGAUUCAAAUGAUUGUUGUACUCAGACAAUCUGAGCACAAGCUCAACAAUUGAGCUUUUCUCCCUUAGUUUGCAGGCUAAGAAAAUCGUCAGAGGUCUUAUACCUCUUGACGUGGGCACGAGCCUGAAAUCCAAAUUUCAGCCCUCGAAACAUCUCAUAUGCUUCGCGGCGUUUCAAAACGUCUUCGGUGCCUCAACUCUAAACCGUUUAACUAAACUAUCACGUAGUUAUCAAAAUGUGUAUGUCAGAUGUUCGCAACAUCCACAGACAACGUUCGAGGUUCAGCACAUUGAGUGGUGCAUUAAGGACAUAAGCCUUCUAUGAAGCAAUGAGGACAAUCCUCAGUUUACGGACCUAGUCCGCAUAAUUGCUACUAUCAACUUUCAACUAAUUUUUUUCUCUCUAGGAACAUAUCUAAACAGUAGAACUAAAGUGCGAGCUAUGACAUAAUUUGCAAAAUCCUUUUGACUAUGUUGAGGAUAAACAAGUUGAUCUUAUGAACUUCCACUCAGAUAGAUAUCCCUCUAGUCAUCUAAGUGAUUACAUGAUCCGAGUCAACUAGGCCGUGUCCGAUCAUCACGUGAGACGGACUAGUCAUCAUCGGUGAACAUCUUCAUGUUGAUCGUAUCUACCAUACGACUCAUGCUCGACCUUUCGGUCUCUUGUGUUCCGAGGCCAUGUCUGUACAUGCUAGGCUCGUCAAGUCAACCUAAGUGUUUCGGGUGUGUAAAUCUGUCUUACACCCGUUGUAUGUGAACGUUAGAAUCUAUCACACCCGAUCAUCACGUGGUGCUUCGAAACGACGAACUUUCGCAACGGUGCACAGUUAGGGGGAACACUUUCUUGAAAUUUUAAUGAGGGAUCAUCUUAUUUACUACCGUCGUUCUAAGCAAAUAAGAUGUAUAAACAUGAUAAACAUCACUUGCAAUCAAAUAGUGACAUGAUAUGGCCAAUAUCAUAGUGCUCCUUUUGAUCUCCAUCUUCGGGGCUCCAUGAUCAUCAUCACCGGCAUGACACCAUGAUCUCCAUCAUCAUGAUCUCCAUCAUCGUGUCUUCAUGAUGUUGUCUCGCCAACUAUUACUUCUACUACUACAGCUAACGGUUAGCAAUAAAGUAAAGUAAUUACAUGGCGUUGUUUAAUGACAAGCAGGUCAUAUAAUAAAUUAAGAAACUCCUAUGGCUCCUGCCGGUUGUCAUACUCAUCGACAUGCAAGUCGUGAUUCCUAUUACAAGAACAUGAUCAAUCUCAUACAUCACAUAUCAUUCAUCACAUUCUUCUUGGCCAUAUCACAUCACAUAGCAUACCCUGCAAAAACAAGUUAGACGUCCUCUAAUUGUUGUUUGCAUGUUUUACAUGGCUGCUAUGGGUUUCUAGCAAGAACGUUUCUUACCUAGGCAAAACCACAACGUGAUAUGCCAAUUGCUAUUUACCCUUCAUAAGGACCCUUUUCAUCGAAUCCGAUCCGACUAAAGUGGGAGAGACAAACACCCGCCAGCCACCUUAUGCAACUAGUGCAUGUUUGUCGGUGGAACCGGUCUCACGUAAGCGUACGUGUAAGGUUGGUCUGGGCCGCUUCAUCCCACAAUGCCGCCGAAUCAAGAUUGGACUAGUAACGGUAAGCAUAUUGAACAAAAUCAACGCCCACAACUACUUUGUGUUCUACUCGUGCAUAGAAUCUACGCAAUAGACCUAGCUCAUGAUGCCACUGUUGGGUAACGUAGCAGAAAUUCAAAAUUUUCCUACGUGUCACCAAGAUCUAUCUAUGGAGAAACCAGCAACGAGGGGAAGGAGGGUGCAUCUACAUACCCUUGUAGAUCGCUAAGCGGAAGCGUUCAAGAGAACGGGGUUGAAGGAGUCGUACUCGUCGUGAUCCAAAUCACCGAUGAUCCUAGUGCCGAACGGACGGCACCUCCGCGUUCAACACACGUACAGCCCGGUGACGUAUCCCACGCCUUGAUCCAGCAAGGAGAGAGGGAGAGGUUGAGGAAGACUCCAUUCAGCAGCAGCACAACGGCGUGAUGGUGGUGGAGGAGCGUGGCAAUCCUGCAGGGCUUCGCCAAGCACCACGGGAGAGGAGGAAGGAGAGAUGCAGGGCUGCGUCAUAUAGAGGAGAGGAACUCGCGUCUUAUGAGCAGCCCAAACCUCAACUAUAUAUAGGGGAAGGGGAGGGGCUGCGCCCCCUUUAGGGUUUCCACCCCUAGGGGUGGCGGCCAGCCUAGAUCCCAUCUAAGGGAGGCAGCCAAGGGGGAGGGGGAGAGGGAGGCGCACCAGGAUGGGCCUUAGGGCCCAUCUGCCCUAGGGUUUGCCCCCUUCUCCUCUCCCUUGCGCCUUGGGCCCUUGUGGGGGGGGGGGGAGCACCAGCCCACCUGGGGCUGGUCCCCUUCCACACUUGGCCCAUGAAGCCCUCCGGGGCUGGUGGCCCCACUUGGUGGACCCCCGGGACCCUCCCGGUGGUCCCGGUACGUUACCGAUAAACCCCGAAACUUUUCCGGUGACCAAAAUAGGACUUCCCAUAUAUAAAUCUUUACCUCCGGACCAUUCCGGAACUCCUCGUGACGUCCGGGAUCUCACCCGGGACUCCGAACAACAUUCGGUAACCACAUACAAACUUCCUUUAUAACCCUAGAGUCAUCGAACCUUAAGUGUGUAGACCCUAUGGGUUCGGGAGACAUGCAGACAUGACCGAGACGUUCUCCGGUCAAUAACCAACAGCGGGAUCUGGAUACCCAUGUUGGCUCCCACAUGUUCCACGAUGAUCUCAUCGGAUGAACCACGAUGUCAAGGACUUAAUCUAUCCCGUAUACAAUUCCCUUUGUCUAUCGGUACGAUACUCGCCCGAGAUUCGAUCGUCGGUAUCCCGAUACCUUGUUCAAUCUCAUUACCGGCAAGUCUCUUUACUCGUUCCGUAACACAUCAUCCCGUGAUAAACUCCUUGAUCACAUUGUGCACAUUAUGAUGAUGUCCUACCGAGUGGGCCCAGAGAUACCUCUCCGUCACACGGAGUGACAAAUCCCAGUCUCGAUUCGUGCCAACCCAACAGACACUUUCGAAGAUACCCGUAGUGUACCUUUAUAGCCACCCAGUUACGUUGUGACGUUUGGCACACCCAAAGCACUCCUACGGUAACCGGGAGUUGCACAAUCUCAUGGUCUAAGGAAAUGAUACUUGACAUUAGAAAAGCUUUAGCAUACGAACUACACGAUCUAGUGCUAUGCUUAGGAUUGCGUCUUUUCCAUCACAUCAUUCUCCUAAUGAUGUGAUCCCGUUAUCAACGACAUCCAAUGUCCAUGGUCAGGAAACCGUAACCAUCUAUUGAUCAACGAGCUAGUCAACUAGAGGCUUACUAGGGACAUGGUGUUGUCUAUGUAUCCACACAUGUAUCUGAGUUUCCUAUCAAUACAAUUCUAGCAUGGAUAAUAAACGAUUAUCAUGAACAAGGAAAUAUAAUAAUAAUCAAUUUAUUAUUGCCUCUAGGGCAUAUUUCCAACAGUCAGAUUGUUCGGUGUUGGGCAGUGCGGUUGAGUCCGGGCUGUUAUUGCCGGGUUCCCCUUCCCAUACUACGGACGGCUUGAAUAGCCUUUCCAAGAAGAUGUUGGGAGGGACUGCAUCGCGUUUUGCGCCGAUGCGUGCCAGGACAUCCGCCGCCUGAUUAUUUUCCCGGGCUAUAUGGUGAAAUUCGAGCCCUUCGAACCGAGCUGACAUUUUUAAGACGACGUUGCGAUAAGCUGCCAUUUUUGGAUCCUUGGCAUCGAAGUCUCUGUUUAUUUGGGAUAUUGCAAGGUUCGAAUCCCCUCGCACUUCUAGGCGUUGAAUACCCAUGGAUACUGCCAUCUAGAGACCAUGUAAGAGGGCCUCGUAUUCGGCUGCAUUGUUGGAGUCUGUGUACAUAAUCUGGAGUACAUAUUGAACUAUGUCUCCUGUGGGGGACGUCAAAACGACGCCAGCCCCCAGACCGGCCAACAUUUUGGAGCCGUAGAAAUGCAUGAUCCAGUUUUAAUAUGUGCCGUACUCUUUAGGGAGUUCAGCCUCCGUCCAUUCUGUGACGAAGUCAGCCAAAACUUGCGACUUGAUAGCUCGCCGUGGCUUAUAAGUUAUGUCGAACGAGAGGAGCUCGAUGGCCCAUUUCGCAAUCCGGCCCGUUGCGUCGCGGUUGUUUAUAAUAUCGUUUAGUGGUACUUCUGAGGCUACUGUUAUUGAACACUCUUGAAAGUAGUGUCGCAGCUUCCGGGAUGCCAUGAAUACCGCGUACGCAAUCUUUUGAUAAUGCGGGUACCUUGAUUUGCACGGAGUGAGGACAGUGGCCACAUAAUAGACCGGCUUCUGAAGGGGGAAUUUGUGUCCGUCCGUUUCUCGUUCGACGACGAGCACUGCGCUCACAACCUGAUGGGUUGCUGCAAUGUAUAAUAGCAUUGGUUCGCCAAUGUUUGGCGCGGCCAGGACUGGGUUUGUUGCCAAUAUGGCUUUUAUUUUGUCGAGUCCGGCCGUGGCUGCGUCCGUCCACUCGAAGUGUUCGGUGCGCCGAAGGAGGCGGUAAAGGGGGAGUGCCUUUUCUCCCAAGCGGGAGAUAAAGCGGCUUAGAGCCGCCACGCAUCCGGUUUACUUUUGUAUUUGUUUGAGGUCCUUUGGGAUAUCCAAUUGUGACAGAGCUCGGAUCUUGGCUGGAUUUGCUUCAAUUCCUCUACCGAAUACAAUGAAGCCCAAGAGCUUACCGGCUGGAACGCCGAAAACGCAUUUUUCCGGGUUGAGCUUGAUGUCGUAUGUUCGAAGGUUAUCAAAUGUGAGCCUCAAGUCGUCUACUAGGGAUUCAACAUGUCUUGUUUUUACGACCACAUCAUCUACGUAUGCCUCCACUGUUUUGCCGAUCUGGUUUGCCAGACAUGUCUGAAUCAUGCGCUGAUAUGUUGUUUUGAGCCCGAAGGGCAUUGUGUUGAAGCAGAAUGGGCCGUAUGGUGUGAUGAAUGCCGUUGCGGCUUGGUCUGAUUCUGCCAUCUUGAUUUGAUGGUAGCCGGAAUAUGCGUCGAGCAAGCACAACAAAUCGUGUCCUACAGUAGCGUUGAUAAUUUGAUCGAUGCGAGGGAGGGGGAAGGGAUCCUUUGGGCAAGCCUUAUUAAGGUCUUUAAAAUCAACGCACAGGCGCUAGGAUUUGUCCUUCUUUGGUACCAUCACCAGGUUUGCUAGCCAGUUCGGAUGUUUUAUAUCUCUGAUGGAUCCGGCCUCUAAUAGCUUGGCUAGCUCCUCUCCCAUGGCCUGUCUCUUAGGUUCGGAAAAACGCCGAAGAGCCUGUUUGACAGGUUUGAAUCCUUUAGGAUAUUUAAGCUGUGUUCGGCCAGCCUGCGUGGGAUUCCUGGCAUGUCUGAAGGGUGCCAGGCGAAAAUGUCCCAGUUCUCACGUAGGAACUCUCGUAGUGCGGCGUCUACAUCAGGGUUUAAUUGUGCACCGAUGGAAGCUGUUUUAUUGGGGUCCGUUGGAUGGACCUGGAAUUUGACUAUUUCGUCCGCUGGUUUAAAUGAGGUGGACUUGGAUAUUUUGUCGAGUAUCACAUCAUCCCUGUUCACCGUGGAGCGCAGCGCAGUCAGCUCCUCAGCCGCUAGGGCUUCGGAUAGUGCCUCAAGGGCCAGUGCGACUGUCUUAUUUUAGGCGCGGAGUGCUAUGUCCAGAUCACUAGCGAGAGUGAUGAUUCCGUUCGGCCCGGGCAUCUUGAGUUUCAUGUACCCAUAAUGGGGUAUUGCUUGGAAGAUUGUGAACGCUUCCCGCCCUAGCAGAGCAUGGUAUCCGCUACUGAACGGGACCACUUGGAACGUGACCUCCUUGGACCUGUAAUUAUCCGGCGUGCCGAACACCACAUCUAGUGUGAUUUUUCCUGUACAGCACGCUUCCUGACUGGGGAUUAUUCCUCUAAAGGUUGUGCUGCUUCGCUCAAUGCGGUUCCAGUCUAUUUCCAUUUUUUGAAGGGUUUCCUCAUAAAUGAGGUUCAAUCCGCUGCCUCCAUCCAUGAGUACCUUGGUAAGGCGAAAGCCGUCCACUAUUGGACUGAGGACCAAUGUGGCUGGUGCUCGGGCUGUUCGGAAUUUAGGUUCAUCACUGGCAUUAAAAGUAAUAGCCGUGUCACUCCAUGGGUUUAUUGUUGCUACUUGGUAGACUUCGGCAAGGCUGCGGAGUGUUCUUUUUCGCAUAUUAUUUGAUGCGGAAGUCUCGAAGACUGUUAAUACCGUACCGGUAUCCCUGGGGUGGCUUUCUAUGGCCUCCGGAAUUAGGAGAUCUUUGCCAAUUUUGGCCACCUGCCGGAGUAUCCAACAUGCUCUAAGGCUGUGAGUUGGUGUGGCGCCCUCUGUACUGUGAAUUUUACAGGGUCGAUUAAGCCAUCCUUCCAAUACGCUUCCAUGCCCUGUAGAGGAUUUUUGCUUUUUGGUGUUUAACCCGGGUGUCUGGCGAAGAUGCACCCUUUUAUUUUGGACUGGGUUUGUAUUCAGGGCCGGAUUGUCCCAAAAUUUUAUUUUGGUUUUCCAGUCGCUAUCCAUCGCAUAGUACUUUCGUACUAUGGACGCCAAGUCAGCGAAGCAUGUAAUAUCACGGCGACUUAUGGCGUUGAGGAUUCCCUUGUCCGUGCAAUUAUUGCAGAAGAAUGAGAUUGCGUCUUCCUCGCGGCAGUCCUUGAUCCUGUUCAUAGCCAGGAGGAAUCUGGCCCAGUAAUGAUGUACUGUUUCUUCGGGCUUUUGCCUAAUUUGGGAUAGAUCGCUUAUGUUCGGGUGGGUGGGUGGAAUUAAAUCCGAAAACUGACCCGAUAUGAGACUCAGAGGCCAAGGAGUUUCCGAACUCGGAAGUUUGGAUUCUUGGAUGUUGUCCAAUGAGUCUAGCCCGUCGCCUGACUCUAAGUUCAGGUCUUGAGUGAUGUCCUCCCUUCCGCGGGUAUCCGGCUUGGAGGGAUCGGGAAUCCAGACGUAACUAGUCCUUAAGAUAGAUGAAGGGUCGCCGCACUGUCCCUCUACCAUAGCAAUGUGAUGGGUGACCUGGGGAGAGUUAAUCUCUCUUAGAUCGGGUUUAGGCCCAAUCUGGUCAUAAUCCGUGGCGACUCCCAGGGCGGCGAUGCGAUCCAAGAGCUCGUUUAUGGAAGAGAGCUCCAUUGGAUCUAACUGCUCGGCGAGUUCCGAGCUGACAUGAAUACUGCUUUUGAUGACCCGAGAGGUCAUCGUCGGCGCAGCAGCCGAACAGGCGGUCAUAAGAAAACCGCCUAGCCGGAGAGUUUGGCCGACAGCCAAAGCUCCCUUAGCAACGGUUCCGUCUUUAAAGACGGGAUGAGGCAUCCUUCCUGAUGGCGACGGCACAGAGGAACUCUCAAUGAAAGCACCAAUGUCGGUGUCAAAACCGGCGGAUCUCGGGUAGGGGGUCCCGAACUGUGCGUCUAGGCGGAUGGUAACAGGAGACAAGGGACACGAUGUUUACCCAGGUUCGGGCCCUCUCGAUGGAGGUAAAACCCUACUCCUGCUUGAUUAAUAUUGAUGAUAUGGGUAGUACAAGAGUAGAUCUACCACGAGAUCAAGGAGGCUAAACCCUAGAAGCUAGCCUAUGGUAUGAUUGUUGUUGUCCUACGGACUAAAACCCUUCGGUUUAUAUAGACACCAGAGAGGGUUAGGGUUACACAGAGUCGGUUACAAUGGUAGGAGAUCUACAUAUCCGUACCACCAAGCUUGCCUUCCACGCCAAGGAAAGUCCCUUCCGGACAUGGGACGAAGUCUUCAAUCUUGUAUCUUCAUAGUCCGGGAGUCCGGCUGAAGGUAUAGUCCGGCUAUCCAGACACCCCCUAAUCCAGGACUCCCUCACCCAGGUUUUCAGCCAAGAUUAUAACUAACCAUGUCGACAAUAACUCUUAAACAUUAUAUUAACUCUUAUGAGUAGAGGCCGCGGGAAAAAGCCUAGUAGUAGCGCGGAUAAAAGACUAGUAGUAGUGCGGGUGCCCGUGCUACUACUACGGCGCUACAGCUAACUCGUAGUAGUAGCGCAGGUGCCACCCGCGCUACUAGUACGUGUGUUAGUAAUAGCGCGGAUUCUACACACGCUACUAUUAACUAUCUGUAGCGCCUGUCUGUGACCCGCGCUACUACUAUUAAUUUCAAAAACCAAAAAAAAAAUCUCGACCCCGUGCAUGUUGUCAAUGGUGUCAUUGAUUCGAUCCAGCGACAACAAGGGUUGCCGGAGGUGUGGACGGGUAGUGGCAGACCAGAUCCGGCGAUGGCUGUUGGAGAUGGCCGGAUCCAGUGUAGAGCAAGACGACGGUGUGAGGAUCCUCUUCGCGGUCAAGGCGGAGAACUCCUGGUUGGCCAUGUCGACGACCUGUGCAGGCAUGGGCAUGGGAGGUGAGUAAAACCAAAGGGAGAGGGAGAGGAGAGGGAGAGGGAAAAAGAGAAACAAGGGAGAAAGGAGGGAGAUGGAGGGUGUAUCGGGGCUGCAUGGAGGCGAGGAGGAAGACGGGCGAGCUCUUGGAUGCCAGCGAUGCGAGGAGGAAGACGUUGGGUGCCAUGGAGGAGGAGAUAUUCUUGGGCAGGAGCACCAUGGAGAGAGGGGGAAAGUGAGGGAGAGAGGAGGAAAGUGAGAGAGGGGGAAAGUGAGGGAGAGAGGAGGGAUUCGGCCGAGGAUAUGGAGAUUUCACCUACCUCGUACUUAGUAGUAGCGAGGGGUAUAAAACCGCGCUACUACUAUCAACAUAGUAGUAGCAUGGGUUUGUACCCCUCGCUACUACUAUGGCAUGUCCCGGGAGGGCACGGUAGACACCGCUUAGUAGUAGCGAGGGUGAAAAACCCGCGCUAAUAGUAUCAACUUAGUAGUAGCGAGGGGUAAAAACCCGUGCUACUAGUAAGUAGCAGUAGCGACGGUUAUAAACCCGUGCUACUAGUAAGCGUCUGCCUAUAAGCUUUUCCCUAGUAGUGGCAUAUCUAUGACAUAAUCAACUAGCGAGCAAUAAUAAGAUAUCUCAAACAACAACACGUUGUGAAAACAACCAUGAUAUAAUAUGACAAUAGUGGUAUCUCGCUAGCCCUUUCUAAGACCGCAAAACAUAAAUGUAGAGCACCUCCAAAGUUCAAGCAGCGACCAAACAUUGUAAUUCAUGGUAGAAAAGAUCUAGUCAUGAUGCACCCAACAUUAGCAACACAUAGUGCAUCAGCAUGUCAACAGUGCUCUCUGGAUUUGGCACUUAUUUUAGAAGGUGAUGACACAACAUAAAAGUAAAUAGAUAGUCCCUUCGCAGAGGGAAGCAGUGAUUUGCAGCGGUGCCAGAGCUCAAAAUUUAAAAAUAGAGGUAAAUGAAAUUUUGGGAAAUUGAUACGUCUCCAACGUAUCUAUAAUUUUUUAUUGUUCCAUGCUAUAUUAUAUUAUGUUUUGGAUGUUUAAUGGGCUUAUUUAUACACUUUUAUAUUAUUUUUGGGACUAACCUAUUAACCGGAGGCCCAGCCCAUAUUGUUGUUUUUGUUCCUAUUUCAGUGUUUCGCAAAAAAAAGAAUAUCAAACGGAAUGAAACCUUCGGGAACAUGAUUUUUAAAACAAACGUGAUUCAGAGGACUUGGAGUCCAUGUCAAGCAGUCAAUGAGGAGGGCACGAGGCAGGGGGCGCUCCUACCUCCCCCUAGGCGCGCCCUCCACCCUCAUGGGGCCCACGUUGCUCCACCGACGUACUUCUUCCUCCUAUAAUACCUACGUACCCCCAAACCAUCAGGGGCAUCCACGAAAACCUAAUUCCACCGCCGCAACCUUCUGUACACGUGAGAUCCCAUCUUGGGGCCUUUUCCGGCGUCCUGCCGAAGGGGGCAUUGAUCACGGAGGGCUUCUACAUCAACACCAUAGCCACUCCGAUGAUGUGUGAGUAGUUUACCUCAGACUUUCGGGUCCAUAGUUAUUAGCUAGAUGGCUUCUUCUCUCUCUUUGGAUCUCAAUACAAAGUUCUCCACGAUUCUCGUGGAGAUCUAUUCGAUGUAAUCUUCUUUUGCGGUGUGUUUGUUGGGACCGAUGAAUUGUGGAUUUAUGAUCAAGUUUAUCUAUGAACAAUAUUUGAAUAUCCUCUGAAUUCUUUUAUGUAUGAUUGGUUAUCUUUGCAAGUCUCUUCGAAUUAUCAGUUUGGUUUGGCCUACUAGAUUGAUCUUUCUUGCAAUGGGAGAAGUGCCUAGCUUUGGGUUCAAUCUUAUGGUGUCGUUUCCCAGUGACAGCAGGGGCAGCAAGGCACGUAUUGUAUUGUUGCCAUCGAGGAUAACAAGAUGGGGUUUAUAUCAUAUUGCAUGAGUUUAUCUCUCUACAUCAUGUCAUCUUGCUUAAAGCGUUACUCUGUUCUUAUGAACUUAAUACUCUAGAUGCAUGCUGGGUAGCGAUCGAUGUGUGGAGUAAUAGUAGUAGAUGCAGGCAGGAGUCGGUCUACUUGUCACGGACAUGAUGCAUAUAUACAUGAUCAUACCUAGAUAUUCUCAUAACUAUGCUCAAUUCUAUCAAUUGCUCGACAGUAAUUUUUUCACCCACCGUAAUACUUAUGCUUUUGAGAGAAGCCACUAAUGAAACAUAUGGCCCCCGGGUCUAUUUUCCAUCAUAUUAAUCUUCCAACACAUAGCCUUUUCUAUUGCCCUUUUAUUUUACUUUGCAUCUCUAUUUCUCUUUAUCAUAGAAAUACUAAAAAUAUUAUCUUAUCAUAUCUAUCAGAUCUCACUCUCGUUAGUGACCGUGAAGGGAUUGACAACCCCUUUAUCGCGUUGGUUGCGAGGUUCUUAUUUGUUUUGUGUAGGUGCGUGGGACUUGAGCGUGGCCUCCUACUGGAUUGAUACCUUUGUUCUCAAAACUGAGGGAAAUACUUACACUACUUUGCUGCAUCACCUUUUCCUCUUCAAGGGAAAAACCAACGCAGUGCUCAAGAGGUAGCAAGAAAGAUUUCUGGCGCCGUUGCCGGGAGUUUACGCAAAAGUCAACAUACCAAGUACCCAUCACAAACUCUUAUCCCUUGCAUUACAUUAUUUGCCAUUUGCCUCUCGUUUUCCUCUCCCUCACUUCACCCUUGCCGUUUUGUUCGCCCUCUCUUCCGCUCACCUUUCCUUCGCCAUGUCGGAACCAAAAAGAGUUGGGGGUUCUCUCCCGAGUUUUAGUACUUUGGACGAUCCUUCUAUUCUAUCUAAACUCAUAAAUAAUGUCAUGGUAAAACCUGCCGGAGUUGUCAAUGAGAGUCUUAAUAAUUUUGAUGAAGAUGAUUCCGGAAUUUUUCGUUAUUUACUCGAUGAAUCUUUGAAAGAUGCUUGGGAUAGACUGUUAAGGAUCCGGGCUAACUAUGUGCCCCAAUACCAAAUUGAAGUUUACUUGAAGAGCUUUUAUGUUGCCCUACCUUCUUCGUUUAAGCAUGUCUUAGAUUCUAUAUUUGAAGAAGACUUUCUUGAAGGGGAUGCCGUAGAUACUUAUGAAAAGAUGAAAACCAUAUUUGGGCACCCCAUGAAUGAGAAAAUUAAAUCUACAUCUCUUUUGCUCUCCAGUCCUUGGUUCAUGUAAAUCUGAAUCUAGCCGGCACUACCCCUUCACAAGCUGUUGCAUAGUCUUCAGCGAGGUGCGGCGCAACUUCCGUGUGAGGGGAAAUGAACUUCUCCACGAAUACCUUCUCUCUCACCUUGAAAGCGGUAUAGUAGUAGCCUGGGUUGCACUUGAGCAAUCCAUUUUCCAUGAGAAACUUUACAACGUAGUACCUGGGUUUCAUCCAGCCCUCCAGCUGUAAUUGAUAAUUACUGACCGUUGAGCAAUGUAGGUAGGUUCCAACCCCACCUCAGAGAUGAGGAAAUCAGACCUGCGCUGCAGUAAUUCCUUUGACUUCCUCAGCAGACACGGAGCGUUACGCACAACAAUGCUCACCUCAGCGUCUGACCACCUGAACAUCUUCUUCAAGUAGGCCACAUUGGCGGCGAUCUUCUCCUCGCUGAGGAAUCUGACAGCAUCCAACGUGUGUCUGAACAUCCUGAGCCACGAGGCAUGCCAAGGCCUUCGGCGCAUGCCACCAUCGCCCUGACGCGUUCUGGCUUGUUGCUCAGGACACCCCGCGCGCGGAGGGACAAUUUGGUGAUAUCGCAAUCAUCUAGCCCGCAUUGCCGUAGGAGCGCGACGUUGGGUUUGACCAUCCCGUCGAUGUCAGCGCCGGCGAGGUAGCCUUGCUUGAGCACCCGGAAGAGGUUCUCCGAGGAGCUGAAUAGGAGCAGGUAGUACCGCAACUUGGAAACAAUGGACCUGGAACAGAAGUGGGCGAAGGAGAGCGCGACGAGGCGCACGAUCUCAGUACGCGAGAGGCCGAGGCCGGUGAGCCCACGACGACGGGGGCUAGAGUUUUCUCUACUUUGGCGCAGAGGAACAACGGGUCUUUGGCGACGAGGGCGGCGACGUCGGUGCCGGAGAGGCCGAGGCCGGCGAGGAAGGAAAGGACGGCGUCGGGCUUGGACGGAGACUUGAGGUGGGAGAGCUUGGCGGAGGCCUUGAGUGCCUGGGGUCGGGUGAGGCCGCAGGUGGAGACGAGGUAGUCGUCGACGACGAAGCUAGGGUUUGGGGAAACGCCGGGCGCGGCGGCCGCGGAGAGGGGGCGGUGGAGAGGGGGGCCUGAGAGGUGGCGGGGGAAGAGAGGAGCCGCACGAGGAUGCAGCCACGGAGGCGGAGCAUGGCGGCGGUGGCGGCGGAGAGAUUGAUUCCCUAUGGAGGCGGGUGCGAAUGGGAUGGUGCUUCGGAGGCGGGGAUGCGGCGCCCUGGCGAGGCAGGUGAGGAACGGAGGAAGAGAACAGGAGGAGAGAUCGAAGAGGAUGGCACUUCGGCGGCGCCGCCGAAGAGAUUUUCCGGUCCGCUGUGAGUGGAGAGGAAAAAUGGGAAAUGGCAGGUGCGAUGCGAAUGGAGGCUCCGCAAAUUGCAAUAUCACUGAAUCCCAGGGGUCUUUACGUCUUUCAAAAAUACAAACUACAUUUAAAAAACAUACAUAAUACAUUGAGCCUCAUGGAAACUUUCAUAUACACAUGGAAAAUAGAUAUCCCCUCCGUUCAAUAACGUAGUGCGUAUAGAUUUUCGAAAGUCAGACUUUGCAAAAUAUGAUCAAAUUUAUAAAGAAAACUACUUAUACCUACAUUAUCAAAUAUAUAAAAUAUGAACCUACGUCUUGUCUUAUGAUGAACCUAAUGAUAUAUGUUUGACAUCUAGAUGUAAAUGUUUUUCUUCACAAACUUGGUCAAAUUUUGUUAGGUUUGACUUUUCAAAAAAUCUGUAUGCAAUCAUUAUGCAAUCGGUAUAAUAAGGAAAAUGGCUUUGAGAGAUAAGAUUAUAUCACAAAAUAAGUUAUUAUACGACUUGUACUUAUCUUGUGAUUUUUUUGUAGGUAUAGUACUUCCUCCAUUUUUAUUUACUCUGCAUAUUAGAGUUGACUGAAGUCGAACUUCGUAAAGUUUGACCAAGUUUAUAAAAAAUAUAUAAAUAUUUACCCUAACAAAUCUAUAUGAUACGAAAGUACGUUCAAUAAUGAAUAUAAUGGUAUUGAUUUGUUAUUGUACAAGUUAAUAUUUUUGACUAUAAACUUUGUCAAAAUUUAUAAAGCUUGACUUUGACUAAAACUAAUAUGGAGAGUAAAUAAAAACGAAGGGAGUAAAUGGCUAUGCUUUUUUUAUAGGUAGUAAAUGGUUACUUUUUUCCGAUUUUUUUAAAUGGUUAUGCUUGCUAAUCAAUCCAAUCCAAAUUAUAUGUCGCUCAAACAGAUGUAUCUAAUUAAUAUGGAUUGGAUGGAGCAGAAAAGUUCAUACGGAUAUAUAUUUUCUCAAAACUUGAAAGUAUGAUUUCUACAAGUAAAAAAAAUCAUAUGUGAACUAUGUUUGUUUUUAGCAUUUUGUGUGUGUUCAUGUUUUUCUCUCUCUCUCUCUCUCUCUCUCUUCAUUCUAGCCUCUUUUCCCCCACCUCACUCUGUUCUCACAUUGACAUUGUUGCCUUUUUCAACGGACUCCUACUUAUCUUUUCUAAAUUUUGCAAGGUGAGAAUUGAGAAGGUUAUUAUUCUUUAGUUUUAUGUGUAUAGCUAUAUUAGAGUUGAGAUCAAUUGCAUCGUGUCCACAAAUCCUCUAUAACACUAAGCUCCCUAGUUUUAAAAAGCCCACACUCAAUUAAGGUCUCUAAUUAGAAUUGGAUCAUCCAAUUUUGAUCGGGUCUACAAUUUCUCAAAGCUUCACAAUCCAAUUCUUUUAUACUAUACAAUAUGCUUCCUAAUUUUUAAGGCCUCAUAAUUAUUAAGGUAUUUAAUAUAGGUUGAUCAUCCAAUUUUGACUGGGUCAACAAUUUCUCAACCUCUUCAAUUGAAUUUUUUUAAUUCACUAUGUUCCAAAAUUUUGAAUCUCUUUCAUUCAAUUGAGGUAUUCAAUUUUGAUUUGGUUGACGAUUUUGACUGGGCCAAUGAUUUUCAAAUCAAUCAGCUGCAACUGACCUAUAAAAACAUAUCAAUCCCAUGCACCCCUCCCACCACAUAGAAAAAAGAAGCGUCACCAUAUGAUAUUGUAGUAUCAAUAUAGUACAUGCAACCACCGAUGCAGAAAUUUUCCCACAUAAAUAUAGGUUGGUUAGCGGAUGACACAGUCAUCUCCCCACCCGCCUAACUUAAUAUUCCAUCAGUUACUCCCUCCGUUCCACAAUGUAGCGCAUAUAAAUUUUUCUAGAAGUCAAACUUUAUAAACUUUGACCAAGUUUGUAGAGAAAAUCAUAUACAUCUAGAAUACCAAAUACGUGUGCUUAGAUACAUCACAACACAUACUUUCAUAUUAUAUACAUUUGGUAUUGUAGAUAUAAAUAGUUUUCUCUAUAAAAUUGGUCAAAGUUUAUAAAGUUUGACUUUGUAGAAAAUCUAUAUGCGCUACAUUAUGGAACGGAGGGAGUAUAAAAUAUGAAGGGUAUUAAUUUUGUAGAAAGUCAAACUUCUUUAACUUUGACCAACUUCAGAGCAAAAAUAUCAACAUCCACAAUAUUAAACAAAAAAAGUAUGGAAAUUCAUUUCGUGAUGAAUCUAAAAAUACUGAUUUAAUCUUAUGAAUUUUGAUAUAUUUCUCUACAAAUUUGAUGAAACUUAAAAGGUUUGAUUUUAAAAAAUAUAAUACACAUUAUAUUGGGAAACAGAGUGAUUAGUUUUUUAAGAUAUCCAACAACAUGAACGGCGCAGCAAAGCGCGCACAACCCUUCUAGUUAGUAGUAUAUCUAAGAACAAUUGGCAUCCCAUUGAUGAUCGAUCAACCUUCUUAGUCCAGCUAGUGGCUGGUCGUCUAGAGAUCUAUAUGGAGUCAGUUGAGAUGCGAUGGUCAGCCAAGUGGGUUGAUCAAUGCUCCUCUUAAAAUUCGAAGCCUAAAGUAGAUGUGCUACUCGAGAAAUAAAAAGACCAACGUAGACCGUACUAACAUCUAAUAUUUGACGUCACAUUUGAAUUUGAUACUAUUCACAUCCAUAAUUGUCCCUUUGCUCAUCGAAUUAUGAAUCUUAUAUAAAUGUUGUAAAUGAUCAAUUUUAUAAUAAUUUUAGGGUUGUAGUUCGGUGCAUAGGUAGCUCAGAGGAACCAUAGCCGUCACUUCCUCUCCAAAAAAGCUUAGGGUUCCUAUGCGGCCAUGCCUCCCGUGGCGCCGCUGCCGGUCCACCUCGUCUCCGGUGGCCCUAGGGCCAUGGGGACACGGUGGAUCUCAUCCCUUACCAGCGGGAGGGCUUCGUUUUUAAAUAUUUCUUUGAAUUUUGUUAGGGUUGUGUCCUGCUAAAGAGGAUAAGACAACGACGGCUUCGUGAAGAUUGAAUAAGGUUCUUCCCGCCUAGCCCCCGUCUCGAUGGCGCAUCUAACAUCGUCGGAGAGUGUGUGGAGGUGUGUCUCCGGCGGAUCUCACAGGAUUCGGUAGGUGGUUUGUCUUUGGUGGAUCUACUCGGACCCGGUCUUCGUUCGUCUACAUUUGUCUGUCAUUAGAUUGGAUCCUUCCGAUCUAUGGGUCUCAUCAUCGGCGGGGGUUACUAUUCUAUUGCGCUGGUCCUACGAGGCCUUAGCACGACAAGUUCCCGGCUGUCUACUACAAUAAGUUCUGCCCGGCUCCGGCGAGGGAAGGGCGAUGACAACGGCGCGUCUUCGGCUCGCUUUAAUGCUUGUAGUCUUUGCUAGAUGGUCUACGGAUGGAUGCGAUUUUUAUUAUUCCUAUUGUUCAUUGUAUUGUCAUGAUUGAAAAUAAAAAGAUCGAAAGAUUUCUCACAGAUAAGAAGCUCAGAAGAACCAUUAAAAGGACAAUCGUGUGGUCUCCCUAGAUGGUCCUUGGAGGGAGCGAUGUAAUUUCAUUUCCUUUUUAUUGCAUUCUCAUGAAUCUACGGGAUACACAGAUUUGGAAUAGCCAUGCGUUAUAUAGGUUUGGAAAAGAUGAAUGGGCAGGACAAAGCCCAUCAAGGUCCAGAGUUGAACAUGGUAUUUUUCUCUUCCCUGAUCUUGUGUGGUUGUUACAUUACAACGAGGACUAGAUGCAUUCAUUAACCUGAGGAGACUAUAUACGGUGAUUAUAUCGUGGUUAUCAUAUUUACCUAUUUUACAAAGAAUGAUCGGAUAUAAUUUACUGGUACAAUCCAUUGUGUGCCUUUCACGCUUCCGUCAGUUUAGUUUCCUCACACUUUAAGUAGUCUUGUGAAGUUGUGAUCAGGUAGCUCGCAAUCCAAAUUUCUGUAAUGAAUAUUUUUUUUUGGUCCAACGAGUAAAACGUAGACUUGGUGACCCUCAAAAGGGAUGAUAUUUUACAUAACGAGUAAAUCAUGAUGUCCUUAGAUAUUUCUUAUGAGUAUUUCUUCUUUUCUGCGGAAAAGUUUCUUGUCUUCCGAACUCUUGGAUGUGGGCAGAACUCUUGAUGAGCCGAGGCACCCGCAGCAUGCCAUUGUGAGUCAAGUUUGCCAUUGUUUGAUGGGAAGUUUUCAAGUGCUACAUGUAGAAGGACGCUAUAGUGGCUGCAAUCUUGCUGCUAAGUGACACGUACUGUCACCCUGUUUCUAAUGAAAAAAACUGAAGAACAAUGACUCAUUUAAACAUUGUUCAAUUUUGUGGUUCAUGAUGUUGGAAAUAUGCCCUAGAGGCAAUAAUAAAAGUAUUAUUAUAUUUCAAUGUUCAUGAUAAAUGUCUUUUAUUCAUGCUAUAACUGUAUUAUCCGGAAAUCGUAAUACACGUGUGAAUACUUAGACCACAAUAUGUCCCUGGUGAGCCUCUAGUUGACUAGCUCGUUGUGAUCAACAGAUAGUCAUGGUUUCUUGACUAUGGACAUUGGAUGUCGUUGAUAACGGGAUCACAUCAUUAGGAGAAUGAUGUGAUGGACAAGACCCAAUCCUAAGCAUAGCAUAAAAGAUCGUGUAGUUCGUUUUGCUAGAGCUUUGCCAAUGUCAAGUAUCUCUUCCUUCGACCAUGAGAUCGUGUAACUCCCGGAUACCGUAAGAGUGCCUUGGGUGUAUCAAACGUCACAACGUAACUGGGUGACUAUAAAGGUGCAUUACAGGUAUCUCCGAAAGUAUCUGUUGGGUUGACACGGAUCGAGACUGGGAUUUGUCACUCCGUAUGACGGAGAGGUAUCUCUGGGCCCACUCGGUAAUGCAUCAUCAUAAUGAGCUCAAUGUGACCAAGGUGUUGGACACGGGAUCAUGCAUUACGGUACGAGUAAAGUGACUUGCCGGUAACGAGACUGAACAAGGUAUUGGGAUACCGACGAUCGAGUCUCGGGCAAGUAACGUACUGAUUGACAAAGGGAAUUGUAUACAGGGUUUGAUUGAAUCCUUGACAUCGUGGUUCAUCCGAUGACAACAUCGAGGAGCAUGUGGGAGCCAUCAUGGGUAUCCAGAUCCCGCUGUUGGUUAUUGACCUGAGAGCAUCUCGGUCAUGUCUGCAUGUCUCCCGAACCCGUAGGGUCUACACACUUAAGGUUCGGUGACGCUAGGGUUAUUAGGAAGACUAGUAUGUGACUACCGAAUAUUGUUCGGAGUUCCGGAUGGGAUCCUGGACGUCACGAGGAGCUCCGGAAGGGUCCGAAGGUAAAGAUUUAUAUAUGGGAAGUUGUCAAACGGGCACCGGGAAGUUUCGGGGUCAUACCGGUAUUGUACCGGGGCCACCGGAAGGGUUCCGGGGGUCCACCGGGAGGGGCCACCCCUCCCGGGGGGGCACAUGGGCUGCGUGGGGCAGGGAGCCAGCCCCUGGUGGGCUGGGCGCACCCCCUCCCUUGGGCCCUUGCGCCUAGGGUUGAGGGGGGAACCCUAGAGGGGGCGCCCCCUUGGCUUGGGGGGCAAGCCACCCUCUCCCCCUCUCCCCUUGGCCGCCGCACCCCCCUAGAUGGGUUCUAGGGGGCCGGCCCCCUUCUCCCUUCCCCCAACAAAUAGAGGGGUGAGGGGAGGGCAGCCGCACCACCCUCCAAGGCGCAGCCCUCCCCUCCCCAACACCUCUCCUCCUCUGUUGUGUGCUUGGCGAAGCCCUGUCGGAGUACUGCCUCUCCACCAUCACCACGCCGUCGUGCUGCCGGUGGAGCUGUCUUCCUCAACCUCUCCUCCCCCCUUGCUGGAUCAAGAAGGAGGAGACGUCUCCCGUCCCGUACGUGUGUUGAACGCGGAGGUGCUGUCCGUUCAGCACUUGGUCAUCGGUGAUUCGAAUCACGUCGAGUACGAUUCCAUCAUCACCUUGCAAGCUUCCGCACGCGAUCUACAAGUGGUAUGUAGAUGCAAACUCACUCCCUUGACUCGUUGCUUAGAUGAACUCAUAGAUGGAUCUUGGUGAAACCGUAGGAAAAAUUUUAAUUUUCUGCAACGUUCCCCAACAGUGGCAUCAUGAGCCAGGUUUAUGCGUAGUUCUCUUUGCACGAGUAGAACACAAUUUUGUUGUGGGCGUGGAUUUUGUCAUCUUACUUGCCUCUACUAGUCUUUUCUUGCUCAACGGUAUUGUGGGAUGAAGCGGCCCGGACCAACCUUACACGUACGCUUACGUGAGACCGGUUCCACCGAGUGACAUGCACUAGUUGCAUAAGGUGGCUGGCGGGUGUCUGUCUCUCCCACUUUAGUUGGAGCGGAAUCGAUGAACAGGGCCCUUAUGAAGGGUAAAUAGAAGUUGACAAAAUCACGUUGUGGUGAUUCGUAGGUAAGAAAAUGUUCUUGCUAGAACCCAAUUGCAGCCACGUAAAAGAUGCAACAACAAUUAGAGGAUGUCUAACUUGUUUUUGCAGCGAUUGAUCAUGUGAUGUGAUAUGGCCAGAAGUUGUGAUGAAUGAUGAAUUGUGAUGUAUGAGAUCAUGUUCUUUGUAAUAGGAUUCACGACUUGCAUGUCGAUGAGUAUGACAACCGGCAGGAGCCAUAGGAGUUGUCUUUAUUUUUUGUAUGACCUGCAUGUCAUUGAAUAACGCCAUGUAAACUACUUUACUUUAUUGCUAAACGUUAGUCAUAGAAGUAGAAGUAGUCGUUGGCGUGACAACUUCAUGAAGACACGAUGAUGGAGAUCAUGAUGAUGGAGAUCAUGGUGUCAAGCCGGUGACAAGAUGAUCAUGGAGCCCCGAAGAUGAAGAUCAAUGGAGCUAUAUGAUAUUGGCCAUAUCAUGUCACAACUAUAUAAUUGCAUGUGAUGUUUAUUAUGUAUUAUGCAUCUUGUUUACUUAGGACGACGGUAGUAAAUAAGAUGAUCCCUUAUAAAAUUUCAAGAAGUGUUCUCCCCUAACUGUGCACCGUUGCUACAGUUCGUCGCUUCUAAGCAACACGUGAUGAUCGGGUGUGAUGGAUUCUUACGUUCACAUACAACGGGUGUAAGACAGUUUUACACAGCGAAAACACUUAGGGUUAACUUGACGAGCCUAGCAUGUGCAGACAUGGCCUCGGAACACGGAGACCGAAAGGUCGAACACGAAUCGUAUGGAAGAUACGAUCAACAUGAGAAUGUUCACCGACGAUGACUAGUCCGUCUCACGUGAUGAUCGGACACGGGCUAGUCGACUCGGAUCGUGUAACACUUAGAUGACUAGAGGGAUGUCUAAUCUAAGUGGGAGUUCAUAAUUUGAUUAGAACUUUAUUAUCAUGAACUUAGUCUAAAACCUUUGCAAAUAUGUCUUGUAGAUCAAUGGCCAACGCUAAUGUCAACAUGAACUUCAACGCGUUCCUAGAGAAAACCAAGCUGAAAGAUGAUGGCAGCAACUAUACGGACUGGGUCCGGAACCUGAGGAUCAUCCUCAUAGCUGCCAGGAAACAAUAUGUCCUAGAAGGACCGCUAGGUGACGCUCCCGUCGCAGAGAACCAAGACAUUAUGAAUGCUUGGCAGUCUCGUGCUGAUGAUUACUCCCUCGUUCAGUGCGGCAUGCUUUACAGCUUAGAACCGGGGCUCCAAAAGCGUUUUGAGCAUCACGGAGCAUAUGAGAUGUUCGAAGAGCUGAAACUAGUUUUCCAAGCUCAUGCCCGGGUCGAGAGAUAUGAUGUCUCCGACAAGUUCUACAGUUGUAAGAUGGAGGAAAAUAGUUCUGUCAGUGAGCACAUCCUGAAGAUGUCUGGGUUGCACAACCGUAUGACCCAGCUGAACAUUAACCUCCCAGAUGAGGCGGUCAUUGACAGAAUCCUCCAGUCGCUCCCACCAAGCUACAAGAGCUUUGUGAUGAACUACAACAUGCAGGGGAUGGAAAAGACCAUUCCUGAAGUGUUCUCGAUGCUGAAGUCAGCAGAGGCUGAAAUCAAGAAAGAACAUCAAGUGUUGAUGGUCAAUAAGACCACUAAGUUCAAGAAGGGCAAGGGUAAGAAGAACUUCAAGAAGGACGGCAAGGAGGUUGCCGCGCCUGGUAAGCCAGUUACCGGGAAGAAGUCAAAGAAUGGACCUAAGCCUGAGACUGAGUGUUUUUAUUGCAAGGGGAAGGGUCACUGGAAGCGGAACUGCCCCAAAUACUUAGCGGAUAAGAAGGCCGGCAACACCAAAGGUAUAUUUGAUAUACAUGUGAUUGAUGUGUACCUUACUAGUACUCGUAGUAACUCCUGGGUAUUUGAUACCAGUGCCGUUGCUCAUAUUUGUAACUCACAGCAGGAGCUGCGGAAUAAACGGAGACUGGCGAAGGACGAGGUGACGAUGCGCGUCGGGAAUGGUUCCAGAGUCGAUGUGAUCGCCGUCGGCACGCUGCCUCUACAUUUACCUACGGGAUUAGUUUUGAACCUGAAUAAUUGUUAUUUAGUGCCAAGUUUGAGCAUGAACAUUGUAUCUGGAUCUCGUUUAAUACGAGAUGGCUACUCAUUUAAGUCUGAGAAUAAUGGUUGUUCGAUUUAUAUGAGAGAUAUGUUUUAUGGUCAUGCUCCGAUGGUCAAUGGUUUAUUCUUAAUGAAUCUCGAGCGUAAUAUUACACAUGUUCAUAGUGUAGAUGCCAAAAGAUUUAAAGUUGAUAACGAUAGUCCCACAUACUUGUGGCACUGCCGCCUUAGUCACAUUGGUGUCAAGCGCAUGAAGAAGCUCCAUGCCGAUGGACUUUUAGAGUCUCUUGAUUAUGAAUCGUUUGACACGUGCGAACCAUGCCUCUUGGGCAAAAUGACCAAGACUCCGUUCUCCGGAACAAUGGAGCGAGCAACCAACUUGUUGGAAAUCAUACAUACCGAUGUGUGCGGUCCAAUGAGCGUUGAGGCUCGCGGAGGAUAUCGUUAUGUUCUCACUCUCACUGAUGACUUGAGUAGAUAUGGGUAUGUCUACUUAAUGAAACACAAGUCUGAGACCUUUGAAAAGUUCAAAGAAUUUCAGAAUGAGGUAGAGAAUCAACGUGACCGAAAGAUAAAAUUCUUACGAUCAGAUCGUGGAGGAGAAUACUUAAGUCACGAAUUUGGUACACACUUAAGGAAAUGUGGAAUCGUUUCACAACUCACGCCGCCUGGAACACCUCAGCGAAACGGUGUGUCCGAACGUCGUAAUCGCACUCUAUUGGAUAUGGUGCGGUCUAUGAUGUCUCUUACCGAUUUACCGCUAUCAUUUUGGGGAUACGCUCUAGAGACAGCUACAUUCACUUUAAAUAGGGCACCGUCUAAAUCCGUUGAGACGACACCGUAUGAAUUAUGGUUUGGAAAGAAACCUAAGAUGUCGUUUCUAAAAUUUUGGGGAUGCGAUGCUUAUGUCAAGAAACUUCAACCUGAAAAGCUCGAACCCAAGUCGGAAAAAUGCGUAUUCAUAGGAUACCCUAAGGAAACUGUCGGGUAUACCUUCUACUUAAGAUCCGAAGGCAAGAUCUUUGUUGCCAAGAACGGAUGCUUUCUGGAAAAAGAGUUUCUCUCGAAAGAAGUAAGUGGGAGGAAAGUAGAACUCGAUGAAGUACUACCUCUUGAGCGGGAAAGUGGCGCAGCGCAGGAAACCGUUUCUGUGAUGCCCACACCAACUGAAGAGGAAAACAAUGAUGAUGAUCAAGGUACUUCGGAUCAAGUUACUAUUGAACUUCGUAGGUCCACAAGGACACGUUCCGCACCAGAGUGGUACGGCAACCCUGUCCUGGAAAUCAUGUUGUUGGACAACAAUGAACCUUCGAACUAUGAAGAAGCGAUGGCGGGCCCGGAUUCCAACAAAUGGCUUGAAGCCAUGAAAUCCGAGAUAGAAUCCAUGUAUGAAAACAAAGUAUGGACUUUGACAGACUUGCCCGAUGAUCGGCGAGCGAUAGAAAACAAAUGGAUUUUUAAGAAGAAGACGGACGCGGAUGGUAAUGUUACAAUCUAUAAGGCUCGACUUGUCGCUAAGGGUUAUCGACAAGUUCAAGGGAUUGACUACGACGAGACUUUCUCUCCUGUAGCGAAGCUGAAGUCCGUUCGAAUCAUGCUAGCAAUUGCCGCAUACUAUGAUUAUGAGAUAUGGCAGAUGGACGUCAAAACAGCAUUCCUUAACGGGCAUCUUAAGGAAGAACUGUAUAUGAUGCAGCCGGAAGGUUUUGUCGAUCCUCGGAACGCUAACAAAGUAUGCAAGCUCCAGCGAUCCAUUUAUGGACUGGUGCAAGCAUCUCGGAGUUGGAACAUUCGCUUUGAUGAGAUGAUCAAAGCGUUUGGGUUUAUGCAGACUUAUGGAGAAGCCUGCGUUUACAAGAAAGUGAGUGGGAGCUCUGUAGCAUUUCUCAUAUUAUAUGUAGAUGACAUACUCUUGAUGGGAAACAAUAUAGAAUUUCUGGACAGCAUUAAGGCCUACUUGAAUAAGUGUUUUUCAAUGAAGGACCUUGGAGAAGCUGCUUAUAUAUUAGGCAUCAAGAUCUAUAGAGAUAGAUCGAGACGCCUCAUAGGUCUUUCACAAAGCACAUACCUUGAUAAGAUUUUGAAGAGGUUCAAAAUGGAUCAGUCCAAGAAGGGGUUCUUGCCUAUGUUACAAGGUGUGAGAUUGAGCUCGGCUCAGUCACCGACCACGGCAAAAGAUAAAGAAGAGAUGAGUGUCAUCCCCUAUGCUUCAGCCAUAGGAUCUAUUAUGUAUGCCAUGCUGUGUACCAGACCCGAUGUAAACCUUGCCGUAAGUUUGGUAGCAAGAUACCAAAGUAAUCCCGGCAAGGAACACUGGACAGCGGUCAAGAAUAUCCUGAAGUACCUGAAAAGGACGAAGGACAUGUUUCUCGUUUAUGGAGGAGACGAAGAGCUCGUCGUAAAGGGUUACGUCGACGCUAGCUUCGACUCAGAUCUGGAUGACUCUAAGUCACAAACCGGAUACGUGUAUAUGUUGAAUGGUGGAGCAGUAAGCUGGUGCAGCUGCAAGCUGAGCGUCGUGGCGGGAUCUACGUGUGAAGCGGAGUACAUGGCAGCCUCGGAGGCAGCGCAUGAAGCGAUUUGGGUGAAGGAGUUCAUCACCGACCUAGGAGUCAUACCCAAUGCGUCGGGGCCGAUCAAACUCUUCUGUGACAACACUGGAGCUAUUGCCCUCGCCAAGGAGCCCAGGUUUCACAAGAAGACCAGGCACAUCAAGCGUCGUUUCAACUCCAUCCGUGAAAAUGUUCAAGAUGGAGACAUAGAGAUUUGCAAAGUGCACACGGAUCUGAAUGUCGCAGAUCCGCUGACUAAACCUCUCUCGCGUGCAAAACAUGAUCAACACCAGAACUCUAUGGGUGUUCGAUUCAUCACAAUGUAACUAGAUUGGUGACUCUAGUGCAAGUGGGAGACUGUUGGAAAUAUGCCCUAGAGGCAAUAAUAAAAGUAUUAUUAUAUUUCAAUGUUCAUGAUAAAUGUCUUUUAUUCAUGCUAUAACUGUAUUAUCCGGAAAUCGUAAUACACGUGUGAAUACUUAGACCACAAUAUGUCCCUGGUGAGCCUCUAGUUGACUAGCUCGUUGUGAUCAACAGAUAGUCAUGGUUUCCUGACUAUGGACAUUGGAUGUCGUUGAUAACGGGAUCACAUCAUUAGGAGAAUGAUGUGAUGGACAAGACCCAAUCCUAAGCAUAGCAUAAAAGAUCGUGUAGUUCGUUUUGCUAGAGCUUUGCCAAUGUCAAGUAUCUCUUCCUUCGACCAUGAGAUCGUGUAACUCCCGGAUACCGUAAGAGUGCCUUGGGUGUAUCAAACGUCACAACAUAACUGGGUGACUAUAAAGGUGCUUACAGGUAUCUUCGAAAGUAUCUGUUGGGUUGACACGGAUCGAGACUGGGAUUUGUCACUCCGUAUGACGGAGAGGUAUCUCUGGGCCCACUCGGUAAUGCAUCAUCAUAAUGAGCUCAAUGUGACCAAGGUGUUGGACACGGGAUCAUGCAUUACGGUACGAGUAAAGUGACUUGCCGGUAAUGAGACUGAACAAGGUAUUGGGAUACCGACGAUCGAGUCUCGGGCAAGUAACGUACCGAUUGACAAAGGGAAUUGUAUACAGGGUUUGAUCGAAUCCUUGACAUCGUGGUUCAUCCGAUGACAACAUCGAGGAGCAUGUGGGAGCCAUCAUGGGUAUCCAGAUCCCGCUGUUGGUUAUUGACCUGAGAGCGUCUCGGUCAUGUCUGCAUGUCUCCCGAACCCGUAGGGUCUACACACUUAAGGUUCGGUGACGCUAGGGUUAUUAGGAAGACUAGUAUGUGACUACCGAAUGUUGUUCGGAGUCCCGGAUGGGAUCCUGGACGUCACGAGGAGCUCCGGAAGGGUCCGGAGGUAAAGAUUUAUAUAUGGGAAGUUGUCAAACGGGCACCGGGAAGUUUCGGGGUCAUACCGGUAUUGUACCUGGGCCACCGGAAGGGUUCCGGGGGUCCACCGGGAGGGGCCACCCCUCCCGGGGGGGCCACAUGGGCUGCGUGGGGCAGGGAGCCAGCCCCUGGUGGGUUGGGCGCACCCCCUCCUUUGGGCCCUUGCGCCUAGGGUUGAGGGGGGAACCCUAGAGGGGGCGCCCCCUUGGCUUGGGGGGCAAGCCACCCUCUCCCCCUCUCCCCUUGGCCGCCGCACCCCCCUAGAUGGGUUCUAGGGGGCCGGCCCCCUUCUCCCUUCCCCCAAUAAAUAGAGGGGUGAGGGGAGGGCAGCCGCACCACCCUCCAAGGCGCAGCCCUCCCCUCCCCAACACCUCUCCUCCUCCGUUGUGUGCUUGGCGAAGCCCUGUCGGAGUACUGCCUCUCCACCAUCACCACGCCGUCGUGCUGCCGGUGGAGCUGUCUUCCUCAACCUCUCCUUCCCCCUUGCUGGAUCAAGAAGGAGGAGACGUCUCCCGUCCCGUACGUGUGUUGAACGCGGAGGUGCUGUCCGUUCAGCACUUGGUCAUCGGUGAUUCGAAUCACGUCGAGUACGACUCCAUCAUCACCUUGCAAGCUUCCGCACGCGAUCUACAAGUGGUAUGUAGAUGCAAACUCACUCCCUUGACUCGUUGCUUAGAUGAACUCAUAGAUGGAUCUUGGUGAAACCGUAGGAAAAAUUUUAAUUUUCUGCAACGUUCCCCAACACAUGAGCCUUUUCUUCAAAGUUUACUUAAAAGUUGGGUUAUUAGGUAAAAAAUGGUUCCUUUCCUUUUGUGCUUGCAAUUUAUUGUCCUGACAAAAACACUUUUUAUUGCAGUGCUAAGAAAAUGCGUCUACUACUUGACUGAGCUAAAUACUCUUGAUAGCAAACCCUCUCUGGGCAUAUUCGUAGAUUCAAGGUGAGGAGACAUGCCAGCAUACAGACCAGCCUUAAAAAUAGUCAGAUAAACAUUGCAAGAUGUACAUACAUGGCACAUGUACGAUGUUCUAACAAGAGCAUAAAGUUGAUUGAUUCUUGAUAGCAUCACCUGAAUAUAUCACUCACGGAUUCAUGAAUGUUCCCCGUUGCAAUGCACGGCCAUUCACCUAGUAAAGGCAAUGAUUUGUUGGUAGUAGAGGCAUCUCAUGUUUCAAAGGGUUAAACCUUACCGUCGUGACCCGGCUCCAUGGCUGGGUCAAUCUUGCACCUCUGUUGGUGCCGAACCCUAGGCAAAUUCCCCCAAAUCUCUUGUUGUUUCUAUUGAUUGACCGAAUGUGAGGAGCGAUAGUAGAUCAAUAACUCUCGUAUAACCGAGGGAAAAAGAAAUGAAGAGAAGUUGGCGAAAGUAUCAAGUGGUACAUCUACUUUUUAUAAUAUCACAUGAAGCCGGCAAAAAGGAAAGCCGACCAACGAAGAAACUGCAUAGGGGACCUAUCAUGAGUGAACAUUGCGUGGGCGCCACUGGCCGCAUCUCAUCAUAUUGUUGUGUAGAAGAAGAAAUGACCGCCGAUGCUGCUGGUGCCUCCAUCUCUACGACCUUGCCGUCCAAGCCCGCAAUAGCAACAAACACGUAGCACUAGAGCACGGGAGGAGAGGUGAUCAGGGAAAUUCGUCUUUCUUGAUGGCAGGAUAAUUAGUGAUGGGCGACUCCACGCGACGCUGAUGUGAUUUCAGGCCACACUAAAGGAUGUCGGAGAAGGGGGCCGUAGGACGAACUCAACAACAUCGGUAGUGGGCUUGGUGGAUAUUGUGUCGAGGGCUCGGGGACGCACUCGGUGAAGGUGGUGGACCUCGGGGAGGGGGCCCUCAUACACGUGGAUGCAGGGGAAAAGAGGGUGCACGGGCUUGGAGGCAUUACUCAUCCACCUCUUCUGGCAAAGAGAGCUCAUCGGGGCCAACCGCGUGAAGGAGGAGCUUGAGGUAGCUUGGAGGAGGCGACGACGGCAGCCAGAUCCAUGUGGCAAGCCAGAGUGGAGGCAUCCCACAUGGGAGCAGUGAUUUCAGAGCCUAAGCUUAGAUGCACCUGCUAUUAUGUUUGUUCAUUGCUGCAUGGAGAUUCGGGAAAUGGGGCAUGAGGUUGCAUUGCUAGGGCGUGGAAAAUCCCCAAAACGAACUAUACAUGCAUGAAUAGUGCGAUACAUGUGGGUCUAUCAUGUAGCACACGAGGAGGGUUCGAACGAAGGACAAGCAGUGCCAUCUUGGUUGGAUUCUGAUCCAUGGCACCUAAUCGUCUGCAUUCAUCUAAGUCGUGGCUCACUUUGCUAGCCCGUGGUGUGACUUUGAAACUUUGAAUCCGAGUCAUGGCCUAAAGAUUUGUAUAGCUCCAGUUGGGGCCUGCGGUGUAGGAUCGUCAGUACGCACACCGAAUGUCAUCCACGACCGACAUCGGCCAACAGAUUGCUAGCUUACCAGACGCUACAAGAGGUAGCGUCCUUCGUGAAGUUUGUGUGCUUCAUCACCAACCAGGUCAUCCUAAGCCAUAAUGGACAACCCAUUCAUCUACGUAGUUGACUUCAACACUGGAGACGACUUCUCAUGGUCGUUGAUCAUGUCACACCUUGCUCACCAUGGCAACAAGCUGUUUCAUGUCACGUCACUUGCCACCACAUUAAUGCACCGCACGGAUACGCAUGCACCAACAGUCGUGCAUGGUGUCCGUCGGAGUUCGCGCGCGUCCCUAGGGUCUCCCAUUCCAGUACGAUGAGAAGGACCUCCUGGUCUGGGCUGGAAGUCACGUAAUGGUACCUACAACAAUCUCGAAAAGAGUAGAAGGCCUGGAUUUCAAGAGCAUCUGAGCUCGCACUUAGAAAUCUAUUUUUGUUCCCACGGUCCAUACAUAGAGAGAAACUAGAAAAGAAAACGCAAAACACGCAUACAUGCAUGCAUGCUUCCACAAAUGGGUUACCACAUACCUUUCUAGGAUUCUGGUGACCUCACAUUCAUUGUUGACCCCUUAUGACCUCACAUUCAUGGGAGAGAUUUCCUGAUCUCACAUUGUCUCUAUAAAAGUCUAUCACCUCUACGAAUCAUGUGUCUCCACCAUUUCAAAUCCUCCGCGCGCCUAACAUACCACUUGAGAAAUUACUAAUGGCCAACAGAAAGAAUGUCAUGGCCAUGUUAUUUCUCACCACCAUUGUGGCGGUGGCGGCCACAAGGCCAGCCGAGACCUAUGGCGUUGCGGAGGAGAACACAUUGAAGAUGGCUACCCCCAGCAGGAAAGGGGUUGACGCUACCUUAGCAACUACACGUGUUGUUGCCGCCGAGAAGUCCAUCAAGAAGGCUGAAAGCGUCACCACACCAGAAGAGGCCGCGGCUGCCAAGCAAGAUGGAGCAAAAUCUGCUUCUGCUGCAUUAAAGUACAAUGCCAUCUCUCAGCAGGCAAAUGGUAAAGGUUCUUCUACCUCCCUAGGCAGGAAAGAAGCAGCCAAUACUUUAGCCGCCGCACACUAUGCCGCCACCGAGAAGUCCAUCAAGAAGGCCGAAACCACCAAGACACCUGCAAAGGUCGUGGCUGCCAAGCGAGACGCAGCAAAGUCUGUUGAUGAUGCAUUAAAGUAUGGUGCCAUCUCUCGGAAAGCAGCUGGUACAAGUUCUUCUACCUCCCCCAAUAAGAAAGAAGGCACCACUGAUGCUGCUAAGAUGUUCACCAAGAAGGCUGAAACCGCUACCACACCUGAAGAGGCCGCGGCUGCCAAGCAAGCUGCAGCCAAGUCUACCGCUGCUGCAUCAAAGUAUGGUGUCAUUUCUCAGCAAGUAGCUGGUACAAGUUCUUCUACCUCCCCUAGCAGGAAAGAAGCUGCCGGUACCUUGGCAGAUGCUCGCAUAGCUGCUGCCGAGAAGUCCAUCAAGAAGGCUGAAACCGCCACAAGACCUGAAGAGGCAGCAUCCGCUAAGAAGGAUGCCACAAAAUCCGAGGCUGAUGCAAUGAAGUACGGGGCCAUCUCUCAGCAGGCCGCCGGCAAAAAUGGUGCCUAAGUGGUGCCUUAAACACCUAUUCACACGCAACAUCAUCUACAUACUACCAUGCAUGCAAAAUAGCAGCAUUCAGAUACCACAUUAUGCUAAUUCUCAUGCAUGCACACUUUGUUUAAACGUUCCCAUUACGAAUCAUGUAUUAAUGUCUUGCUUGUUUUAUUUUUAGUAGUAAGACAUGCUUGACUUGCUUUAAAAAAAAUACAACAAUCGAUGUAUACAUGUAUUAUCUAAAAAUCAGUAAUAUGAGUUCCACCGCAAUUUGUUUCUUUUUGUCAUAAUUUGGGUGCAAUCAAUGCACACAUCCAAUACACAAAAUUGGACGACUCAAUGUGUUGUGGCUCCAUGGAGCGGCGAAUCAUGUUUUAUUGUCUUGCUUGUUUUACUUUUAGUAGUAAUGUCUUGCUGGUCAAUGUAUUAUGGCUCCAUGGAGCGGCAUAAUGAUAUAUGAUAUAUCUUCACUACUUCAAAAAGAACUUAAGGUUUCGUCAUACAUCUUUCCUUCAUCCAUCCUCCCUACGAAUCCUUCCUGUUUUGAUUUUUUUCUCCCAUCUUUGAUUUUUCUCCCCAUUGAUUCUACCUAAAAACCACCUCAAUGUCACAUGUUUACUGUAUAUGUCAAGGCCUCCUUUGGUUCAUAGGGUAGAAAAAAACAUAGGAAUAGGAAAGUCAUAGGAAAUGAGAUGACAUGUAUCUCAAAUCCUAUGAUUGGGAAUAGGAAAGGAGAUGCCCUUUGAUUCACAUCAUAGGAUUUUUUCAUUGAAUCUAGGCUAAUGUUUAUUUUCCUAUGAAAUGUGAAGGAGAGGAAGAAUUCCUCCAUAGGAUUAGGAUUCCAUUCCUACAAACCAAAGGACUCUAAAGGAAUUUUUUCUAUAGAAAUCCUAUCCUAUGAAAUUCUUACAAGAUUCCUCCAAAUCAAAGGAGGCCCAAGUGGUUGUGAUGAGACAGUGGCUGGGCACUUCAGAUUUAUUCCCGUAACUGACUGUCAAAUUGAGUCAUCUGUCGUCCUUUCGAUGAUUGUAAGAAAGUUAUAUGUUUACUGUAUGUGCCAAUUGGUUGUGAUUAUCGUUACCGGCCACAAAGUUAUAUUUUCUUGUCUUAACGAAGGGUUGCAUACAAUGCGUGUAGCUCUUGACGCCUGAUAACCCACAAGUAUAGGGGAUCGCAACAGUUUUUGAGGGUAGAGUAUUCAACACAAAUUUAUAGAUUCGACACAAGGGGAGCCAAAGAAUAUUUGUAAGUAUUAACAGCUGAGUUAUCAAUUCAACCACACCUGGAGAUUAAUUAUCUGCAGCAAAGUGAUCAGUAGCAUAGUAGUAUGAUAGUUUUGAUAGUAGUAGCAACAUCAACAGUAACGGUAAUAGUGGUAGCAAUGGUUUUGUAGCAGUGACAAUAGUAACAGCAGCAGUAGUAACUUAGCAAGAACAAUAUGUACGAAAAUCGUACGCAUUGGAUCGGUGAUUUGUUGGAUGAUAUUCAUCAUGUGACAGUUACAACCUAGGACGAUACGGCACUAGCUCCAGUUCAUAAAUAUAAUGUAGGCAUGUAUUCUAUAAAUAAUCAUACGUGCUUAUGGAAAGAACUUGUAUGACAUCUUUUGUCCUACCCUCCUGUGGCAGCGGUGUCCUAUUGGAAACUAAGGGAUAUUAAGGCCUCCUUUUAAUAGAGAACCAGAACAAAGCAUUAACACACGGUGAAUACAUGAACUCCUCAAACUACGGUCAUCACAGGGAAGUGUCCCGACUAUUGUCACUCCGGGGUUGCCGGAUCAUAACACGUAGUAGGUAACUAUAACUUGCAAGAUUGGAUCUAGAACAUAGAUAUAAUGGUGAUAACAUAAGUCAUAGCAACAUCAAUCUCAGAACAUAAUGGAUACUCGGGAUGAAGCCCUAACAAAACUAACUCAAUUACAUGAUGAAUCUCAUCCAACUCCUCACCGACCAGCGAGCCUACGAAGGAAUUACUCACUCCUGGUGGGGAGCAUCAUGGAAUUGGCGAUGGAGAAGGGUUGGUGAUGACGAAGAUCGAAGACCCCCCUCUCUGGAGCCCCAAACGGACUCCAAAUCUAGCCUCCCGAUGAAGAACAGGAGAUGACGGCGGCUCUGUCUCGUGGAUCGUGAUAAUUCUUUCUUCCUGAUUUUUUCUGGAAAAAUAGGAUUUUAUAGCGUCGGAUUCAGGGCCUGCGGGGCCACCAGGUGGGGACAACCCACCUGGGUGUGCUUGGAGGGGGGGGGCCUGGUGGGUUGUGCCCAUCCAGGUGCCCCCCUCCGGUUGUUCUUGGCUCCAGAAAUUCUCUGUAUUUGUAUAAAAAUUCCUCGCAAAGUUUUGUUCCAAUCCGAAAACUUUUAUUUCUGCACAAAAAAAACACCAUGGUAGUUUUGUUGGAAACAGCGUCAGUCCGGGUUAGUUUCAUUCAAAUCAUGCAAAUUAGAGUGCAAAACAAGAGGAAAGUGUUAGGAAAAGUAGAUACGACGGAGAUGUAUCAACUCCUCCAAGCUUAAACCUUUGCUUGUCCUCAAGCAAUUCAGUUGAUAAACUGAAAGUGAAAAAAAAAUUACGAACUCUUUUGCUCUUGUUUUCAUAAAUAAGCUUAAACAUCACCCAGUGUCGAUGUCAAAACCGGCGGAUCUCGGAUAGGGGGUCCCGAACUGUGCGUCUAGGCGGAUGGUAACAGGAGACAAGGGACACGAUGUUUACCCAGGUUCGGGCCCUCUCGAUGGAGGUAAAACCCUACUCCUGCUUGAUUAAUAUUGAUGAUAUGGGCAGUACAAGAGUAGAUCUACCACGAGAUCAAGGAGGCUAAACCCUAGAAGGUAGCCUAUGGUAUGAUUGUUGUUGUCCUACAGACUAAAACUCUCUGGUUUAUAUAGACACCGGAGAGGGUUAGGGUUACACAGAGUCGGUUACAAUGGUAGGAGAUCUACAUAUCUGUAUCGCCAAGCUUGCCUUCCACGCCAAGGAAAGUCCCUUCCAGACACGGGAAGAAGUCUUCAAUCUUGUAUGUUCAUAGUCCGGGAGUCCGGCUGAAGGUAUCGUCCGGCUAUCCGGACACCCCCUAAUUCAGGACUCCCUUAGAGCCCCCGAACCAGGCUUCAAUGACGACGAGUCUGGCACGCAAAUUGUCUUCGGCAUUGCAAGGCGGGUUCUCCUUCAAUUUCUGUGUACCUGCUGAAUAAUGUCCGGUUUCUUAUAAAUGUAGCGCUCCUCGGCUUCCACGCCCAAUAAUGGCCGUCUUCCACGUGUCAAAUGAAUACGAAAAGUCUGGGUGUUUUUACAUUCACACCCCCAGCCGCGUAAAUGAGCCGCCUAUUUAAAGGGACGGGGAUUUAGAUCCAAACCACACCUUCUCCUCUCCGCGAGUUUCAUCAGAGCGCAUCCGACAAAGGACCGUUCCAUCAUGGCCAGCCGUCGCAGCUCCUCCUCUCGCCCUUCCAGCCCUCAUCCUGGAGAUUGGGAGAGAUGCUCCGUCCCGCACAGCGAGCUAGUGUCGCUUCGGACCAAAGGGAUUUCUUCCUCCGGCCUAUAUGGUCCCGGUUCGAGCCGGACUUGCCACCUAUAAUGGCGGAGAGCAAGUGGAGAGCGCCCCCAAUCCCUCCAAAGGAGAGCGGGUAUGCCUUGUCCCUUAUUUAAUAAGAGGGCUCGGAUUUCCAAUUCAUCCAUUUCUCCGGGGGCUCCUGGAGUUCUAUGGCCUCCAGCUGCACAACCUCACGCCUGUCUCCGUAUUGCAUAUUGCGGGCUUCGUAGCCCUUUGCGAGUUGUUUUUGGGUGUUGAGGCUCAUUUCGCGCUGUGGAAGAGGCUAUUCUGCCUUGUGCCCUGUUCUUAGGAGGGGUCAAUAUAUCAAGUGGGCGGAGCCAAAGUGUGGUGUAUCGCCGGGACCGGAUAUCUAUCCGGAACCCCAAAGAAGGCGUCUGAGGACUGGCCUUCAGAAUGGUUUUAUAUAGAGGACGUCCCGUUGCCGGAUCCUGUUCGGAUCGGCCUCCCUGAGUUCAACAGCGCUCCCCUAAAGAAAAACCUAAGCUGGCGCCCACGGAGCCCUCAGAGAGAAAGUGACAAGGACAUUCUUUACCUGAUGGGCCGGAUAAGAUUAUUAGCUCAUUCCGGACUAACCAUGAUCGGAGUCAUGGCUGCAUGCAUCAUGCGAGGGGUGCAACCGCUUCAGUACAGAGGCCACCCCAUGUGGGACUUCAACGGGGAGGAUGAUGCCACCCGUCACGGCCGUAAGGGGCCGGACUCGGCUACCGCUCUAGUAAAGAUCUUGUCCGCUUUGUACAAGGGAGAAGAGGAGGAAUUUCUCCGCGUCAACCCACAGGGUGGAUUUACCAUGUACAAUCCCCCAAGUUGGGUAAGUGGGCAAUUUUACUUGCACGUCUGUUUUGUAUUCCCAUCAUUAAAUAUAUAGUCUAACGACUUCAACGCAGGAACUGCGCCUGGAAGUAAAGGACAUAAAUAGCCCGCCUCCACAGCCCGAGGACCCAGAGUUGUCCCUCGAUCCGGCCUCCGAAGAGGAUCCGGACUUAUCCAUGGAGUUAAUUGAUGGGGUGUUUUAUCAAUUGAGCAAGGACAAUGCCUUGGUGGCCAUUAAGGCCGAUUACCCGGGGCUGCUCCCGGCCUCCCAGGUAACUGAGACCGAAGUCCUAGCACCUCAAAAAGGGAUCCGCCCUCGCGUGUUUUUCAGUUUCCUGACAACAACCGUGUUUUGCAGGGGAGGUUCUUGAGACGGGAGGCCGAGCCUGCGGCGACUAGCCAACGAGGGGCUACAGGGCCCCGUGGGAUGAAAAGAAGUGCAGUCCGGAUUGAGGCGCCGGCGCAGAGGUAUAGCACGCCUUCUUAUUCCCAGGUGUUAUUCCUUCAAGGCAUAUUAACACUCGUGCUCUUUUCAGGACAAAAAGACCCCGCCGGACUAUAUCUGGAGAGGCUGCCAAUCGCGCCUCCACCAGCCAGGCUCCAAAGCCUGGUCCGGAGACGGAGGCGAACACGAGGCGCGCACCGGACGCUCCUCCAACAGAGGAUGCGGACAGGCUGUCCGCCACUAAUUCCGAGGUGGAGAGUGCCAUGAACCACAGGCGUCGCCGGACAGUUCUUCGCGACGCUUGUUUCUCCCAAGAGGCAUUGGACGCCUUCAAUUCGGGAGAUGCGUACCUCCGUGCCGCUCAAAAUGGUCUAGCCAGAGCCACGGAGCAAUAUGUAAAAGACAUACAGGUGAGAAAAUUUAAUGGUUAUAUAUAUCAGUAGCCCCCGAGACUUGAAACAGUUAGAAGAACUGAUUUAAGGAUCAUUCAUAAUGCAGGUUCUUGCGGAAAAGAAUACCCAACUGUCCCAGGAGCUAGAAGAGUGCAAAGCCCAACUUGAGGCCGCACUAGCCGCGACAGGGGAGCCCAAGGAGACCCCCUCUGGUAAUAUGUGCUUCAAAAAGAGAAGUAUUUUGUGAAGUGCGGCGUUUGUGCAAAUCUGACAAAUGAAAUUGCAGAUGGCGCCGGAUUAGAUCCGGAAAAGCAACAACUCCUACGCCAGCUAAAGGCUGGUGAGAGCGUGCUGACAAAGGUGAGGUGGGAGAAGAACGAUCUCCAAUAUGCCAACACCAAGCUGGGCGUUGAACUGAAAGAUGUUUGUGCCCAGCUGUCGGACUCCGCUAAGGAGAAUCAGCGGCUUCGACGCGGCAUAUUUAGUAAGUGCUUAAACGAACUUUGAAUAAAGAGUUCGACGAGGAAGUCGACUAACGGAGUAAUGUCUGUAGGUAUGCUAACAGGUCGUCCUGCAGAGGAGAUGCCCGGUUCUAUGGGUGACCUUCUUCCCGAGCUCUUGCAACUGCACGAGCGAGUUCGGCAGGUGAUGCAGGGCGUCGCCCAGGCCUUGUGGCCAUCCAUCUCCAUGCCCGAAGGACUUGGAGAGCUUGCAGAGAAGCUGAAGGGAGCGCGGCGGCGCUUCUGAUUGUGGAAGAUAUCGGCCUGCGUCAAGGCGCUAGGGAGGCAUGGGCCAUGGUGAAGACGCGGUACACGAAGGCUGACCCAAACCACAUGGCCGAGGUCGGACCUGUGGGGCCCGAUGGGAAGGAGAUCCCUGUAAGCUUCGUAUACGGCUAAGUAGAAUUGGCCGCAAAGUAUUCCCAGCAGGACUGUAAGCUAGACAGCCUGUUAGAUGGUAUUGAAGAGGAAUACAAUCAGUCAUAAUGACUAUGUAAUUUUAAUUGACAUGUGUAAUGCCUUCUAGCCAGAUUGUAGAUCAUUUUUCAUGGCCGACCUUUUUGCUUCGACCUCGGGACCUGCGGUCUGGAGUGUGUCCGAAUACCCUUGCGGUUAUAUAAGAACCGGGGUAUGCAUGGAGACUAGGCGUAGGGGUCAUUAGUGCUUGAACAGACAAGUGCCCGACUAGUUAUGUUAUAUUACAUGGUUAGUAAGAAACAUCUUCCAGGGAGAAUAGUUCCGUUAGGGGUUCCUUUCCCUGGGAGGCAUGCCCUAAAGUGCAUGUCCAUUCUGCGAAAAAGAGACGCAGGAAAAAACAUCUGGGGGCGCAUAGAUAAAUAAGUGAAAAAAUCAUCUUUAGUUCACCGACCGAAUAUUUCCUUAAGAACGCUAGCUUUCGGCUUCACCCAGUCUGAGGUACACAUCGGGCUGACCCGGCAGUAACAAUCGCAGAGGUGCUCCCUUUACCACCUAGCCGAACAAUCGGGAACAUAGGGGUAAGCACAGGAGCCAGGCAACCCAGCUUGGCCAAAAAUUAAGUCAUAUCGAUGCAUAUGAUGGUGAAUAAAAGGUACAUGCGGAAGUGUGACACAUGUGUUGGGCAUGAAGCCCGUAUAAGCUUCUGUUCAAAGAAGCCCCCAGGUUUAGUGAGCGUGGAUAGCGCGUCACUUGAUGAGCCUUUAAAGGCUAUAAGAGAAAGGAGGGGGAGAAGGAGAAAAUGGAAGACAGAAAAUAUAAAAAAUGGACAGAGGAAGGAGACGAACAUAGAGUCCGGCGCUAGGCAUAGAAUCUUCGGAGACGGGCUGCGUUCCAUGGGUUCGGUUCGAGUCGGUUAUCCGAUGCAUCUCGCAGGCGGUAUGCUCCACCAGUCAGGACUUGGUCAAUUAUGAAGGGACCUUCCCACUUGGGCUGGAGUUUGUCCUUUUUCUUGUCCGGCAGGCGUAGAACUAGUUCGCCAACAUUGUAAUUUUUGGCCCGUACUUCUCUGCUUUGAUAUCUUCGAGCCUGCUGUUGAUAGAAUGCGGAACGGGCUUUUGCCACGUCACGCUCCUCCUCCAAGGCAUCUAAACUGUCCUGCCGAUCGAGCUCGGCUUCUCUUUCUUCGUACAUGCGCACUCAAGGUGAGUCAUGAAUUAUAUCGCAGGGCAAAACUGCUUCUGCACCGUACACCAUGAAGAAUGGUGUGUAUCCGGUGGUGCGAUUCGACGUGGUCCGCAGCCCCCAGAGUACGGAGUCGAGCUCCUCUACCCAGUGCGUGUUAGAUUCCUUAAGGUACCGCACUAAUCUGGGUUUGAUGCCGCUCAUGAUAAGACCAUUUGCGUGUUCGACCUGUCCGUUAGUUUGUGGGUGAUAGACGGAAGCAUAAUCGAGCUUGAUGCCCAUGUUUUUGCACCAGAGUUUUACCUCAUCGACCGUAAAGUUCGUACCGUUAUCAGUGAUGAUGCUGUGGGGGACGCCGUAACGGUGUACGACCCCCGAUAUAAAGUCUAUCACCGGUCCGGAUUCGGCCGUCUUAAUAGGCUUGGCCUCUAUCCAUUUGGUGAACUUAUCCACCAUGACCAGUAAGUAUUUUUUCUUCUGGGUUCCGCCUUUAAGGGGUCCAACCAUGUCAAGCCCCCAGACCGCGAAGGGCCAAGUGAUGGGGAUAGUUUGGAGGGCGGUGGGUGGCAUAUGGCUUUGGUUUGGCAAAAGCUGGCAACCGACGCAUCGUUGGACUAAGUCCUGAGCGUCUGCCCGGGCCGUUGGCCAAUAAAAGCCUGUACGGAAAGUCUUGCUUACGAGGGACCGAGUUGCGGUGUGAUGACCAUCGAGUCCGGCAUGAAUUUCAGCCAGCAAGUUCCGCCCAUCCUCCUCGGAGAUGCACCUUUGAAGGACUCCGGUAGUGCUUUUCUUAUAAAGCUCUCCCUCAUGGACUUUAUAGGCUUUAGAUCGCCGCACUAUGCAGCGUGCCUCAUUUUGGUCUUCUGGGAGUUCCUGCCUAGUAAGGUAGGCUAGGAAUGGUUCUGUCCACGGGGCGAUGACCGCCAUUAUUACGUGGGCUGAAGAUGUGACUUCAUUGGCAGAAUCUCCAAUUAUGUCAGUGUUGGGUAACGUAGCAGAAAUUCAAAAUUUUCCUACGUGUCACCAAGAUCUAUCUAUGGAGAAACCAGCAACGAGGGGAAGGAGAGUGCAUCUACAUACCCUUGUAGAUCGCUAAGCGGAAGCGUUCAAGAGAACGGGGUUGAAGGAGUCGUACUCGUCGUGAUCCAAAUCACCGAUGAUCCUAGUGCCGAACGGACGGCACCUCCGCGUUCAACACACGUACAGCCCGGUGACGUAUCCCACGCCUUGAUCCAGCAAGGAGAGAGGGAGAGGUUGAGGAAGACUCCAUCCAGCAGCAGCACAACGGCGUGGUGGUGGUGGAGGAGCGUGGCAAUCCUGCAGGGCUUCGCCAAGCACCACGGGAGAGGAGGAAGGAGAGAUGCAGGGCUGCGUCAUAUAGAAGAGAGGAACUCGCGUCUUAUGAGCAGCCCAAACCUCAACUAUAUAUAGGGGAAGGGGAGAGGCUGCGGCCCCUUUAGGGUUUCCACCCCUAGGGGUGGCGGCCAGCCUAGAUCCCAUCUAAGGGAGGCGGCCAAGGGGGAGGGGGAGAGGGAGGCGCACCAGGAUGGGCCUUAGGGCCCAUCUGCCCUAGGGUUUGCCCCCUUCUCCUCUCCCUUGCACCUUGGGCCCUUGUGGGGGGGGGGGCGCACCAGCCCACCUGGGGCUGGUCCCCUUCCACACUUGGCCCAUGAAGCCCUCCGGGGCUGGUUUGCCCCACUUGGUGGACCCCCGGGACCCUCCCGGUGGUCCCGGUACGUCACCGAUAAACCCCGAAACUUUUCCGGUGACCAAAACAGGACUUCCCAUAUAUAAAUGUUUACCUCCGGACCAUUCCAGAACUCCUCGUGACGUCCGAGAUCUCAUCCGGGACUCCGAACAACAUUCGGUAACCACAUACAAACUUCCUUUAUAACCCCAGCGUCAUCGAACCUUAAGUGUGUAGACCCUACGGGUUUGGGAGACAUGCAGACAUGACCGAGACGUUCUCUGGUCAAUAACCAAUAGCGGGAUCUGGAUACCCAUGUUGGCUCCCACAUGUUCCACGAUGAUCUCAUCGGAUGAACCACGAUGUCAAGGACUUAAUCAAUCCCGUAUACAAUUCCCUUUGUCUAUCGGUACGAUACUCGCCCGAGAUUCGAUCGUCGGUAUCCCGAUACCUUGUUCAAUCUCAUUACCGGCAAGUCUCUUUACUCGUUCCGUAACACAUCAUCCCGUGAUCAACUCCUUGAUCACAUUGUGCACAUUAUGAUGAUGUCCUACCGAGUGGGCCCAGGGAUACCUCUCCGUCACACGGAGUGAUAAAUCCCAGUCUCGAUUCGUGCCAACCCAACAGACACUUUCAGAGAUACCCGUAGUGUACCUUUAUAGCCACCCAGUUACCUUGUGACGUUUGGCACACCCAAAGCACUCCUACGGUAACCGGGAGUUGCACAAUCUCAUGGUCUAAGGAAAUGAUACUUGACAUUAGAAAAGCUUUAGCAUACGAACUACACGAUCUAGUGCUAUGCUUAGGAUUGGGUCUUGUCCAUCACAUCAUUUUCCUAAUGAUGUGAUCCCGUUAUCAACGACAUCCAAUGUCCAUGGUCAGGAAACCGUAACCAUCUAUUGAUCAACGAGCUAGUCAACUAGAGGCUUACUAGGGACAUGGUGUUGUCUAUGUAUCCACACAUGUAUCUGAGUUUCCUAUCAAUAUAAUUCUAGCAUGGAUAAUAAACGAUUAUCAUGAACAAGGAAAUAUAAUAAUAAUCAAUUUAUUAUUUCCUCUAGGGCAUAUUUCCAACAGUCUCCCACUUGCACUAGAGUCAAUAAUCCAGUUCACAUCGUUAUGUGACUAACACUCAAGGUCACAUCCCCAUGUGACUAACACCCAAAGAGUUUACUAGAGUCAAUAAUCUAGUUCACAUUUACCAUGUGAUUAACACUCGAUGAGUUCUGGGUUUGAUCAUGUUAUGCUUGUGAGAGAGGUUAUAGUCAACGGGUCUGAACCUUUCAGAUCCGUGUGUGCUUUACAAAUCUCUAUGUCAUCUCCUAGAUGCAGCUACCACGCUCUAUUUGGAGCUAUUCCAAAUAACUGUUCUACUAUACGAAUCCAGUUUACUACUCAGAAUAAUCUGGAUUAGUGUCAAAGUUUGCAUCGGCGUAACCCUUUACGACGAACUCUUUUACCACCUCCAUAAUCGAGAAAAUUCCUUAGUCCACUAGUUACUAAGGAUAACUUUGAUCGCUGUCCUGUGAUCCAUUCUUGGAUCACUCUUGUACCCCUUGACUGACUCAUGGCAAGGCACACUUCAGGUGCGGUACAUAGCAUAGCAUACUGUAGAGCCUAUGUCUUAAGCAUAGGGGACGACCUUCGUUCUUUCUCUCUAUUCUGCCGUGGUCAAGCUUUAAGUCUUAACUUCAUACCUUACAACUCAGGCAAGAACUCCUUCUUUGACUGAUCCAUCUUGAACACCUUCAAGAUCAUGUCAAGGAAUGUGCUCAUUUGAAAGUACCAUUAAGUGUUUUGAUCUAUCCUUAUAGAUCUUGAUGCUCAAUGUUCAAAUAGCUUAAUCCAGGCUUUCCAUUGAAAAAACACUUUCCAAAUAACCCUAUAUGCUUUCCAGAAAUUCUACGUCAUUUCUGAUCAACAAUAUGUCAACAACAUAUAUUCAUCAGAAAUUCUAUAGUGCUCCCACUCACUUCUUUGGAAAUACAAGUUUCUCAUAAACUUCGUAUUCACCCAAAAUCUUUGAUCAUCUCAUCAAAGCAUACAUUCCAACUCGAGAUGCUUACUCCAGUACUUAGAAGGAUUGCUGGAGCUUUGCAUACUUAUUAGCAUAUUUCAGGAUUGACAAAACCUUCCGGUUGUAUCACAUACAACCUUUCCUCAAAAAUCAUCGAGGAAACAAUGUUUUGACAUCCUAUCUGCAAGAUUUCAUAAAUGAUGCAGUAAUUGCUAAUAUAAUUCCAACAGACUCUUAGCAUCGCUACGAGUGAGAAAGUCUCAUCGUAGUCAACUCCUUGAACUUGUCGGAAAACAUCUUAAUGACAAGUCGAGCUUUCUUAAUGGUGAUACUUACCAUCAUUGUCCGUCUUCCUUUUAAAAUCCAUAUGUACCUAACAGCCUUACGACCAUCAAGUUGUUCUUCCAAAGUCUACACUUUGUUUUCACAUAUGGAUCCUCUCUCGGAUUAUAUGGCCUUGAGCCAUUUUGGAAUCCAGGCCCACCAUUGCUCCUCCAUAGCUCGUAGGUUCAUUGUUGUCUAGCAACAUGACUUCCAAGACAGGAUUACGUACCAUUCUAAAGCAGUACACAUCCUUGUCAUCCCACGAGGUUUGGUAGUGACUUGAUCUGAAGUUUCAUGAUCACUAUCAUAAGCUUCCACUUCAAUUGGUGUAGGUGCCACAGGAACAACUCCCUGUGCCCUGCCACACACUAGUUGAAGAGAUGGUUCAAUAACCUCAUCAAGUCUCCACCAUCCUCCCACUCAAUUCUUUCGAGAGAAACUUUUCCUCGAGAAAGGACCCGAUUCUAGUAACAAUCCCUUAUUGCUUUCGAAUCUGAGACAGGAGGUAUACCCAACUGUUUUGGGUGUCCUAUGAAGAUGUAUUUAUCCGCUUUGGGUUCGAGCUUAUCGACCUGAAACUUUUUCACAUAAGCGUCGCAGCCCCAAACUUUUAAGAAAUGACAGCUUAGGUUUCUCUAAACCAUAGUUCAUACGGUGUCAUCUCAUCGGAAUUACGUGGUGCCCUAUUUAAAGUGAAUGUGGUUGUCUCUAAUGCCUAACCCAUAAACUAUUGUGGUAAUUCGAUAAGAGACAUCAUGGUAUGCAUCAUAUCCAAUAGGGUGCAGUUAUGAUGUUCGGACACACCAUCACACUAUGGUGUUCCAGGCUGUAUCAGUUGUGAAACAAUUUCCACAAUGUCUUAAUUCUGUGCCAAACUCGUAAUUCAGAUAUUCAUCUCUAUGAUCAUAUCAUAGAUAUUUUAUCCUCUUGUCACGAUGAUCUUUCAACUUCACCCUGAAAUUACUUGAACCUUUCAAUAAUUCAAACUCAUGAUUCAUCAAGUAAAUAUACUCAACAUCUACUCAAAUCAUCUGUGAAGUAAGAACAUAACGAUAUCCACUACAUUCCUCAGCACUCAUUGGACUGCACACAUCAAAAUGUAUUACUUCCAACAAGUUGCUUUCUAGUUCCAUUUUACUGAAACCGAGGCUUUCAGUCAUCUUGCCCAUGUGGUAUGAUUUGCAUGUCUCAAGUGAUUCAAAAUCAAGUGAGUCCAAAUGGUCCAUUUGCAUGGAGUUUCUUCAUGCAUAUACACCAAUAGACAUGGUUCGCAUGUCUCAAACUUUUCAAAAAUGAGUGAGCCCAAAGAUCCAUCAACAUGGAGCUUCUUCAUGCGUUUUAUACUGAUAUGACUUACGUGGCAGUGCCACAAGUAGGUGGUACUAUCAUUACUAUCUUAUAUCUUUUGGCAUGAACAUGUGUAUCACUACGAUCAAGAUUCAAUAAACCAUUCAUUUUAGGUGCAAGACCAUUGAAGGUAUUAUUCAAAUGAACAGAGUAACCAUUAUUCUCCUUAAAUGAAUAGCCGUAUCGCGAUAGACAUAAUCCAAUCAUGUCUAUGCUCAACGCAAACACCAAAUAACAAUUAUUUAGGUUUAACACCAAUCUCGAUGGUAGAGGGAGCGUGCGAUGCUUGAUCAUAUCAACAUUGGAAACACUUCCAACACAUAUCGUCAGCUCACCUUUAGCUAGUCUCCGUUUAUUCCGUAGCUUUUAUUUCAAGUUACUAACACUUAGCAACCGAACCGGUAUCUAAUACCCUGGUGCUACUAGGAGUACCAGUAAAGUACACAUUAACACAAUGUAUAUCCAAUAUACUUCUAUCGACCUUGCCAGCCUUCUCUUCUACCAAGUAUCUAGGGUAAUUCUGCUCCAGUGGCUGUUCCCCUUAUUACAGAAGCACUUAAUUAGUCUCGGGUUUGGGUUCAACCUUGGGUUUCUUCACUAGAGCAGCAGCUAAUUUGCCGUUUCAUGAAGUAUCCCUUCUUGCCCUUGCCCUUCUUGAAACUAGUGGUUUCACCAACCAUCAACAAUUGAUGCUCCUUCUUGAUUUCUACUUUUGUGGUGUCAAACAUCGCGAAUAUCUCAAGGAUCAUCAUAUAUGUCCCUGAUAUAUUAUAGUUCAUCACGAAGCUCUAGCAGCUUGGUGGUAAUGACUUCGGAGAAACAUCACUUUCUCAUCUGGAAGAUCAACUCCCACUCGAUUCAAAUGAUUGUUGUACUCAGACAAUCUGAGCACAAGCUCAACAAUUGAGCUUUUCUCCCUUAGUUUGCAGGCUAAGAAAAUUGUCGGAGGUCUUAUACCUCUUGACAUGGGCACGAGCCUGAAAUCCAAAUUUCAGCCCUCGAAACAUCUCAUAUGUUUUGCGACGUUUCAAAACGUCUUUGGUGCCUCAACUCUAAACCGUUUAACUGAACUAUCACGUAGUUAUGAAAAUGUGUAUGUCAGAUGUUCGCAACAUCCACAGACAACGUUCGAGGUUCAGCACACUGAGCGGUGCAUUAAGGACAUAAGCCUUCUAUGAAGCAAUGAGGACAAUCCUCAGUUUACGGACCUAGUCCGCAUAAUUGCUACUAUCAACUUUCAACUAUUUUUUUUUCUCUAGGAACAUAUCUAAACAGUAGAACUAAAGCGCGAGCUACGACAUAAUUUGCAAAAUCCUUUUGACUAUGUUCAGGAUAAACAAGUUCAUCUUAUGAACUUCCACUCAGAUAGAUAUCCCUCUAGUCAUCUAAGUGAUUACAUGAUCCGAGUCAACUAGGCCGUGUUCGAUCAUCACGUGAGACGGACUAGUCAUCAUCGGUGAACAUCUUCAUGUUGAUCGUAUCUACCAUACGACUCAUGCUCGACCUUUCGGUCUCUUGUGUUCCGAGGCCAUGUCUGUACAUGCUAGGCUCAUCAAGUCAACCUAAGUGUUUCGCGUGUGUAAAUCUGUCUUACACCCGUUGUAUGUGAACGUUAGAAUCUAUCACGCCCGAUCAUCACGUGGUGCUUCGAAACGACGAACUUUCGCAACGGUGCAUAGUUAGGGGGAACACUUUCUUGAAAUUUUAAUGAGGGAUCAUCUUAUUUACUACUGUCGUUCUAAGCAAAUAAGAUGUAUAAACAUGAUAAACAUCACAUGCAAUCAAAUAGUGAUAUGAUAUGGCCAAUAUCAUAGUGCUCCUUUUGAUCUCCAUCUUCGGGGCUCCAUGAUCAUCAUCACCGGCAUGACACCAUGAUCUCCAUCAUCAUGAUCUCCAUCAUCGUGUCUUCAUGAAGUUGUCUCGCCAACUAUUACUUCUACUACUACAGCUAACUGUUAGCAAUAAAGUGAAGUAAUUACAUGGCGUUGUUUAAUGACACGCAGGUCAUAUAAUAAAUUAAGACAACUCCUAUGGCUCCUGCCGGUUGUCAUACUCAUCGACAUGCAAGUCGUGAUUCCUAUUACAAGAACAUGAUCAAUCUCAUACAUCACAUAUCAUUCAUCACAUUCUUCUUGGCCAUAUCACAUCACAUAGCAUACCCUGCAAAAACAAGUUAGACGUCCUCUAAUUGUUGUUUGCAUGUUUUACGUGGCUGCUAUGGGUUUCUAGCAAGAACGUUUCUUACCUACGCAAAACCACAACGUGAUAUGCCAAUUGCUAUUUACCCUUCAUAAGGACCCUUUUCAUCGAAUCCGAUCCGUCUAAAGUGGGAGAGACAAACACCCGCCAGCCACCUUAUGCAACUAGUGCAUGUUUGUCGAUGGAACCGGUCUCACGUAAGCGUAUGUGUAAGGUUGGUCCGGGCCGCUUCAUCCCACAAUGCCGCCGAAUCAAGAUUGGACUAGUAACGGUAAGCAUAUUGAACAAAAUCAACGCCCACAACUACUUUGUGUUCUACUCGUGCAUAGAAUCUACGCAAUAGACCUAGCUCAUGAUGCCACUGUUGGGUAACGUAGCAGAAAUUCAAAAUUUUCCUAUGUGUCACCAAGAUCUAUCUAUGGAGAAACCAGCAACGAGGGGAAGGAGAGUGCAUCUACAUACCCUUGUAGAUCGCUAAGCAGAAGCGUUCAAGAGAACGUGGUUGAAGGAGUCGUACUCGUCAUGAUCCAAAUCACCGAUGAUCCUAGUGCCGAACGGAUGACACCUCUGCGUUCAACACACGUACAGCCCGGUGACGUAUCCCACGCCUUGAUCCAGCAAGGAGAGAGGGAGAGGUUGAGGAAGACUCCAUCCAGCAGCAGCACAACGGCGUGGUGGUGGUGGAGGAGCGUGGCAAUCCUGCAGGGCUUCGCCAAGCACCACGGGAGAGGAGGAAGGAGAGAUGCAGGGCUGCGUCAUAUAGAGGAGAGGAACUCGCGUCUUAUGAGCAGCCCAAACCUCAACUAUAUAUAGGGGAAGGGGAGGGGCUGCGACCCCUUUAGGGUUUCCACCCCUAGGGGUGGCGGCCAGCCUAGAUCCCAUCUAAGGGAGGCGGCCAAGGGGGAGGGGGAGAGGGAGGCGCACCAGGAUGGGCCUUAGGGCCCAUCUGCCCUAGGGUUUGCCCCCUUCUCCUCUCCCUUGCGCCUUGGGCCCUUGUGGGGGGGGGCGCACCAGCCCACCUGGGGCUGGUCCCCUUCCACACUUGGCCCAUGAAGCCCUCCGGGGCUGGUGGCCCCACUUGGUGGACCCCCGGGACCCUCCCGGUGGUCCCGGUACGUUACCGAUAAACCCCAAAACUUUUCCGGUGACCAAAAUAGGACUUCCCAUAUAUAAAUCUUUACCUCCGGACCAUUCCGGAACUCCUCGUGACGUUCGGGAUCUCAUUCGGGACUCCGAACAACAUUCGGUAACCACAUACAAACUUCCUUUAUAACCCCAGAGUCAUCGAACCUUAAGUGUGUAGACCCUACGGGUUCGGGAGACAUGCAGGCAUGACCGAGACGUUCUCCGGUCAAUAACCAACAGCGGGAUCUGGAUACCCAUGUUGGCUCCCACAUGUUCCACGAUGAUCUCAUCGGAUGAACCACGAUGUCAAGGACUUAAUCAAUCCCGUAUACAAUUCCCUUUGUCUAUCGGUAUGAUACUCGCCCGAGAUUCGAUCGUCGGUAUCCCGAUACCUUGUUCAAUCUCGUUACCGGCAAGUAUCUUUACUCGUUCCAUAACACAUCAUCCCGUGAUCAACUCCUUGAUCACAUUGUGCACAUUAUGAUGAUGUCCUACCGAGUGGGCCCAGAGAUACCUCUCCGUCACACGGAGUGACAAAUCCCAGUCUCGAUUCGUGCCAACCCAACAGACACUUUCGGAGAUACCCGUAGUGUACCUUUAUAGCCACCCAGUUACGUUGUGACGUUUGGCACACCCAAAGCACUCCUACGGUAACCGGGAGUUGCACAAUCUCAUGGUCUAAGGAAAUAUUGACAUUAGAAAAGCUUUAGCAUACGAACUACAUGAUCUAGUGCUAUGCUUAGGAUUGGAUCUUGUCCAUCACAUCAUUCUCCUAAUGAUGUGAUCCCGUUAUCAACGACAUCCAAUGUCCAUGGUCAGGAAACCGUAACCAUCUAUUGAUCAACGAGCUAGUCAACUAGAGGCUUACUAGGGACAUGGUGUUGUCUAUGUAUCCACACAUGUAUCUGAGUUUCCUAUCAAUACAAUUCUAGCAUGGAUAAUAAACGAUUAUCAUGAACAAGGAAAUAUAAUAAUAAUCAAUUUAUUAUUGCCUCUAGGGCAUAUUUCCAACAGUCAGAUUGUUCGGUGUUGGGCAGUGCGGUUGAGUCCGGGCUGUUAUUGCCGGGUUCCCCUUCCCAUACUACGGACGGCUUGAAUAGCCUUUCCAAGAAGAUGUUGGGAGGGACUGCAUCGCGUUUUGCGCCGAUGCGUGCCAGGACAUCCGCCGCCUGAUUAUUUUCCCGGGCUAUAUGGUGAAAUUCGAGCCCUUCGAACUGAGCUGACAUUUUUAAGACGAUGUUGCGAUAAGCUGCCAUUUUUGGAUCCUUGGCAUCGAAGUCUCUGUUUAUUUGGGACAUUGCGAGGUUCAAAUCCCCUCGCACUUCUAGGCGUUGAAUACCCAUGGAUACUGCCAUCCAGAGACCAUGUAAGAGGGCCUCGUAUUCGGCUGCAUUGUUGGAGUCUGUGUACAUAAUCUGGAGUACAUAUUGAACUGUGUCUCCUGUGGGGGACGUCAAAACGACGCCAGCCCCCAGACCGGCCAACAUUUUGGAGCCGUCGAAAUGCAUGAUCUAGUUUUAAUAUGUGCCGUACUCUUCAGGGAGUUCGGCCUCCGUCCAUUCUGUGACGAAGUCAGCCAAAACUUGCGACUUGAUAGCUCGCCGUGGCUUAUAAGUUAUGUCGAACGGGAGGAGCUCGAUGGCCCAUUUCGCAAUCCGGCCCGUUGCGUUGCGGUUCUUUAUAAUAUCGUUUAGUGGUACUUCUGAGGCUACUAUUAUUGAACACUCUUGAAAGUAGUGUCGCAGCUUCCGGGAUGCCAUGAAUACCGCGUACGCAAUCUUUUGAUAAUGUGGGUACCUUGAUUUGCACGGAGUGAGGACAGUGGACACAUAAUAGACCGGCUUCUGAAGGGGGAAUUUGUGUCCGUCGUUUCUCGUUCGACGACGAGCACUGCGCUCAGAACCUGAUGGGUUGCUGCAAUGUAUAAUAGCAUUGGUUCGCCAAUGUUUGGCGCGGCCAGGACUGGGUUUGUUGCCAAUAUGGCUUUUAUUUCGUCGAGUCCGGCCGUGGCUGCGUCCGUCCACUCGAAGUGUUCGGUGCGCCUAAGGAGGCGGUAAAGGGGGAGUGCCUUUUCUCCCAAGUGGGAGAUAAAGCGGCUUAGAGCCGCCACACAUCCGGUUUACUUUUGUAUUUGUUUGAGGUCCUUUGGGAUAUUCAAUUGUGACAGAGCUCGGAUCUUGGCUGGAUUUGCUUCAAUUCCUCUACCGAAUACAAUGAAGCCCAAGAGCUUUCCGGCUGGAACGCCGAAAACGCAUUUUUCUGGGUUGAGCUUGAUGUCGUAUGUUCGGAGGUUAUCAAAUGUGAGCCUCAAGUCAUCUACUAGGGAUUCGACAUGUCUUGUUUUUACGACCACAUCAUCUACAUAUGCCUCCACUGUUUUGCUGAUCUGGUUUGCCAGACAUGUCUGAAUCAUGCGCUGAUAUGUUGUUUUGAGCCCGAAGGGCAUUGUGUUGAAGCAGAAUGGGCCGUAUGGUGUGAUCAAUGUCGUUGCGGCUUGGUCUGAUUCUGCCAUCUUGAUUUGAUGGUAGCCGGAAUAUGCGUCGAGCAAGCACAACGAAUCGUGUCCUGCAGUAGCGUCGAUAAUUUGAUCCAUGCGGGGGAGGGGAAAGGGAUCCUUUGGGCAAGCCUUAUUAAGGUCUUUAAAAUCAACGCACAAGUGCCAGGAUUUGUCCUUCUUUGGUACCAUCACUAGGUUUGCUAGCCAGUCCGGAUGUUUUAUAUCUCUGAUGGAUCCGGCCUCUAAUAGCUUGGCUAGCUCCUCUCCCAUGGCCUGUCUCUUAGGUUCGGAAAAACGCCGAAGAGCCUGUUUGACAGGUUUGAAUCCUUUAGGAUAUUUAAGCUGUGUUCGGCCAGCCUGCGUGGGAUUCCUGGCAUGUCUGAAGGGUGCCAGGCGAAAAUGUCCUAGUUCUCACGUAGGAACUCUCGCAGUGCGGCGUCUACAUCAGGGUUUAAUUGUGCACCGAUGGAAGCUGUUUUAUUGGGGUCCGUUGGAUGGACCUGGAAUUUGACUAUUUUGUCCGCUGGUUUAAAUGAGAUGGACUUGGAUCUUUUGUCGAGUAUCACAUCAUCCCUGUUCACCGUGGAGCGCAGCGCAGUCAGCUCCUCAGCCGCUAGGGCUUAGGAUAGUGCCUCAAGGGCCAGUGCGGCUGUCUUAUUUUAGGCGCGGAGUGCUAUGUCCAGAUCACUAGCGAGAGUGAUGAUUCCGUUCGGCCCGGGCAUCUUGAGUUUCAUGUACCCAUAAUGGGGUAUUGCUUGGAAGAUUGUGAACGCUUCCCGCCCUAGCAGAGCGUGGUAUCCGCUACUGAACGGGACCACUUGGAACGUGACCUCCUCGGACCUGUAAUUAUCCGGCGUGCCGAACACCACAUCUAGUGUGAUUUUUCCUGUACAGCACGCUUCCUGACUGGGGAUUAUUCCUCUAAAGGUUGUGCUGCUUCGCUCAAUGCGGUUCCAGUCUAUUUCUAGUUUUUGAAGGGUUUCCUCAUAAAUGAGGUUCAAUCCGCUGCCUCCAUCCAUGAGUACCUUGGUAAGGCGAAAGCCAUCCACUAUUAGACUGAGGACCAAUGUGGCUGGUGCUCGGGCUGUUCGGAAUUUAGGUUCAUCACUGGCAUUAAAAGUAAUAGCCGUGUCACUCCAUGGGUUUAUUGUUGCUACUUGGUAGACUUCGACAAGGCUGCGGAGUGUUCUUUUUCGCAUAUUAUUUGAUGCGAAAGUCUCGAAGACUGUUAAUACCGUACCGGUAUCCCUGGGGUGGCUUUCUAUGGCCUCCGGAAUUAGGAGAUCUUCACCAAUUUUGGCCACCUGCCGGAGUAUCCAACAUGCUCUAAGGCUGUGAGUUGGUGUGGCGCCCUCUGUACUAUGAAUUUUACAGGGUCGAUUAAGCCAUCCUUCCAAUAUGCUUCCAUGCCCUGUAGAGGGUUUUUGCUUUUUGGUGUUUAACCGGGUGUCUGGCGAAGAUGCACCCUUUUAUUUCGGACUGGGUUUGUAUUCAGGGCCGGAUUGUCCCAAAAUUUUAUUUCGGUUUUCCAGGCGCUAUCCAUCGCACAGUACUUUCGUACUAUGGACACCAAGUCAGCGAAGCAUGUAAUAUCACGGCGACUUAUGGCGUUGAGGAUUCCCUUGUCCAUGCAAUUAUUGCAGAAGAAUGAGAUUGCGUCUUCCUCGCGGCAGUCCUUGAUCCUGUUCAUAGCCAGGAGGAAUCUGGCCCAGUAAUGAUGUACUGUUUCUUUGGGUUUUUGCCUAAUUUGGGAUAGAUCGCUUAUGUUCGGGUGGGUGGGUGGAAUUAAAUCCGAAACCUGACCCGAUCUGAGACUCAGAGGCCAAGGAGAUUCCGAACUCGGAAGUUUGGAUUCUUGGAUGUUGUCCAAUGAGUCUAGCCCGUCGCCUGACUCUAAGUUCAGGUCUUGAGUGAUGUCCUCCCCUCCGCGGGUAUCCGACUUGGAGGGAUCGGGAAUCCGGACAUAACUAGUCCUUAAGAUAGAUGAAGGGUCACCGCACUGUCCCUCUACCAUAGCAAUGUGAUGGGUGACCUGGGGAGAGUUAAUCUCUCUUAGAUCGGGUUUAGGCCCAAUCUGGUCAUAAUCCGUGGCAACUCCCAGGGCGGCGACGCGAUCCAAGAGCUCGUUUAUGGAAGAGAGCUCCAUUGUAUCUAACUGCUCGGCGAGUUCCGAGAUGACAUGAAGACUGCUUUUGAUGACCCGAGAGGUCAUCGUCGGCGCAGCAGCCGAACAGGCGGUCAUAAGAAAACCGCCUAGCCGGAGAGUUUGGCCGACAGCCAAAGCUCCCUUAGCAACGGUUCCGUCUUUAAAGACGGGAUGAGGCAUCCUUCCUGAUGGCGACGGCACAGAGGAACUCUCAAUGUAAGCACCAAUAUCGGUGUCAAAACCGGCGGAUCUCGGGUAGGGGGUCCCGAACUGUGCGUCUAGGCGGAUGGUAACAGGACACAAGGGACACGAUGUUUACCCAGGUUCGGGCCCUCUCGAUGGAGGUAAAACCCUACUCCUGCUUGAUUAAUAUUGAUGAUAUGGGUAGUACAAGAGUAGAUAUACCACGAGAUCAAGGAGGCUAAACCCUAGAAGCUAGCCUAUGGUAUGAUUGUUGUUGUCCUACGGACUAAAACCCUUCGGUUUAUAUAGACACCGGAGAGGGUUAGGGUUACACAGAGUCGGUUACAAUGGUAGGAUAUCUACAUAUCCGUAUCGCCAAGCUUGCCUUCCACGCCAAGGAAAGUCCCUUCCGGACAUGGGACGAAGUCUUCAAUCUUGUAUCUUCAUAGUCCGGGAGUCCGGCUGAAGGUAUAGUCCGGCUAUCCAGACACCCCCUAAUCCAGGACUCCCUCACCCAGGUUUUCAGCCAAGAUUAUAACUAACCAUGUCGACAAUAACUCUUAAACAUUAUAGUAACUCUUAUGAGUAGAGGCCGCGGGAAAAAGCCUAGUAGUAGCGCGGAUAAAAGACUAGUAGUAGUGCGGGUGCCCGUGCUACUACUAUGGCGCUACAGCUAACUCGUAGUAGUAGCGCAGGUGCCACCCGUGCUACUAGUACGUGUGUUAGUAAUAGCGCGGAUUCUACACACGCUACUACUAACUAUGUGUAGCGCCUGUCUGUGACCCGCGCUACUACUAUUAAUUUCAAAAACCAAAAAAAAAUCUCGACCCCGUGCAUGUUGUCAAUGGUGUCAUCCAGCGACGACAGGGGUUGCCGGAGGUGUGGACGGGUAGUGGCAGACCAGAUCCGGCGAUGGCUGUUGGAGAUGGCCGGAUCCAGUGUAGAGCAAGACGACGGUGUGAGGAUCCUCUUCGCGGUCAAGGCGGAGAACUCCUGGUUGGCCAUGUCGACGACCUGUGCAGGCAUGGGCAUGGGAGGUGAGUAAAACCAAAGGGAGAGGGAGAGGAGAGGGAGAGGGAAAAAGAGAAACAAGGGAGAAAGGAAGGAGAUGGAGGGCGUAUCGGGGCUGCAUGGAGGCGAGGAGGAAGACGGGCGAGCUCUUGGACGCCAGCGAUGCGAGGAGGAAGACGUUGGGUGCCAUGGAGGAGGAGAUGUUCUUGGGCAGGAGCACCAUGGAGAGAGGGGGAAAGUGAGGGAGAGAGGAGGAAAGUGAGAGAGGGGGAAAGUGAGGGAGAGAGGAGGGAUUCGGCCGAGGAUAUGGAGAUUUCAUCUACCUCGUACUUAGUAGUAGCGAGGGGUAUAAAACCGCACUACUACUAUCAACAUAGUAGUAGCAUGGGUUUGUACCCCUCGCUACUACUAUGGCAUGUCCCGGGAGGGCAUGGUAGACACCGCUUAGUAGUAUCGAGGGUGAAAAACCCGCGCUAAUAGUAUCAACUUAGUAGUAGCGAGGGGUAAAAACCCACGCUACUAGUAAGUAGCAGUAGCGACGGUUAUAAACCCGCGCUACUAGUAAGCGUCUGCCUAUAAGCUUUUCCCUAGUAGUGGCAUAUCUAUGACAUAAUCAACUAGCGAGCAAUAAUAAGAUAUCUCAAACAACAACACGUUGUGAAAACAACCAUGAUAUAAUAUGACAAUAGUGGUAUCUCGCUAGCCCUUUCUAAGACCGCAAAACAUAAAUGCAGAGCACCUCCAAAGUUCAAGCAGCGACUAAACAUUGUAAUUCAUGGUAGAAAAGAUCUAGUCUUGAUGCACCCAACAUUAGCAACACAUAGUGCAUCAGCAUGACAACAGUGCUCUUUGGAUUUGGCACUUAUUUUAGAAGGUGAUGACACAACAUAAAAGUAAAUAGAUAGUCCCUUCGCAGAGGGAAGCAGUGAUUUGCAGCUGUGCCAGAGCUCAAAAUUUUAAAACAGAGGUAAAUGAAAUUUUGGGAAAUUGAUACGUAUCCAAUGUAUCUAUAAUUUUUUAUUGUUCCAUGCUAUAUUAUAUUAUGUUUUGGAUGUUUAAUAGGCUUAUUUAUACACUUUUAUAUUAUUUUUGGGACUAACCUAUUAACCGGAGGCCCAGCACAAAUUGCUGUUUUUGUUCCUACUUCAGUGUUUCGCAAAAAAAAGAAUAUCAAAUGGAGUGCAAACGGAAUGAAACCUUCGGGAACAUGAUUUUUGAAACAAAUGUGAUCCAGAGGACUUGGAGUCCAUGUCAAGCAGUCAACGAGGAGGGCACGAGGCAGGGGGCGCUCCUACCUCCCCCUAGGCGCGCCCUCCACCCUCAUGGGGCCCACGUUGCUCCACCGGCGUACUUCUUCCUCCUAUAUAUACCUACGUACCCCCAAACCAUCAGGGGCAUCCACGAAAACCUAAUUCCACCGCCGCAACCUUCUGUACACGUGAGAUCCCAUCUUGGGGCCUUUUCCGGCAUCCUGCCGGAGGGGGCAUUGAUCACGGAGGGCUUCUACAUCAACACCAUAGCCACUCCGAUGAUGUGUGAGUAGUUUACCUUAGACUUUUGGGUCCAUAGUUAUUAGCUAGAUGGCUUCUUCUCUCUCUUUGGAUCUCAAUACAAAGUUCUCCACGAUUCUCGUGGAGAUCUAUUCGAUGUAAUCUUCUUUUGCGGUGUGUUUGUCGGGACCGAUGAAUUAUGGAUUUAUGAUCAAGUUUAUCUAUGAACAAUAUUUGAAUAUCCUCUGAAUUCUUUUAUGUAUGAUUGGUUAUCUUUGCAAGUCUCUUCGAAUUAUCAGUUUGGUUUGGCCUACUAGAUUGAUCUUUCUUGCAACGGGAGAAGUGCCUAGCUUUGAGUUCAAUCUUGUGGUGUCGUUUCCCAGUGACAGCAGGGGCAGCAAGGCACGUAUUGUAUUGUUGCCAUCGAGGAUAACAAGAUGGGGUUUAUAUCAUAUUGCAUGAGUUUAUCUCUCUACAUCAUGUCAUCUUGCUUAAAGCGUUACUCUGUUCUUAUGAACUUAAUACUCUAGAUGCAUGUUGGAUAGCGAUCGAUGUGUGGAGUAAUAGUAGUAGAUGCAGGCAGGAGUCGGUCUACUUGUCACGGACAUGAUGCCUAUAUACAUGAUCAUACCUAGAUAUUCUCAUAACUAUGCUCAAUUCUAUCAAUUGCUCGACAGUAAUUUGUUCACCCACCGUAAUACUUAUGCUUUUGAGAGAAGCCACUAAUGAAACAUAUGGCCCCCGGGUCUAUUUUCCAUCAUAUUAAUCUUCCAACACAUAGCCUUUUCUAUUGCCCUUUUUAUUUUACUUUGCAUCUCUAUUUCUCUUUAUCAUAGAAAUACUAAAAAUAUUAUCUUAUCAUAUCUAUCAGAUCUCACUCUCGUUAGUGACCGUGAAGGGAUUGACAACCCCUUUAUCGCGUUGGUUGCGAGGUUCUUAUUUGUUUUGUGUAGGUGCGUGGGACUUGAGCGUGGCCUCCUACUGGAUUGAUACCUUUGUUCUCAAAACUGAGGGAAAUACUUACGCUACUUUGUUACAUCACCCUUUCCUCUUCAAGGCAAAAAACAACGCAAUGCUCAAGAGGUAGCAAGAAAGAUUUCUGGCGCCGUUGCCGGGGAGUUUACGCAAAAGUCAACAUACCAAGUACCCAUCACAAACUCUUAUCCCUUGCAUUACAUUAUUUGCCAUUUGCCUCUCGUUUUCCUCUCCCUCGCUUCACCCUUGCCGUUUUAUUCGCCCUCUUUUCCGCUCGCCUUUCCUUCGCCAUGUCGGAACCAAAAAGAGUUGGGGGUUCUCUCCCGAGUUUUAGUACUUUGGACGAUCCUUCUAUUCUAUCUAAACUCAUAAAUAAUGUCAUGGUAAAACCUGCCGGAGUUGUCAAUGAGAGUCUUAAUAAUUUUGAUGAAGAUGAUUCCGGAAUUUUUCGUUAUUUACUCGAUGAAUCUUUGAAAGAUGCUUGGGAUAGACUGUUAAGGAUCCGGGCUAACUAUGUGCCCCAAUACCAAAUUGUAGUUUACUUGAAGAGCUUUUAUGUUGCCCUACCUUCUUCGUUUAAGCAUGUCUUAGAUUCUAUAUUUGAAGAAGGCUUUCUUGAAGGGGAUGCCGUAGAUACUUAUGAAAAGAUGAAGACCAUAUUCGGGCACCCCAUGAAUGAGAAAAUUGAAUCUACAUCUCUUUUGCUCUCCAGUCCUUGGUUCAUGUAAAUCUGAAUCUAGCCGGCACUACCCCUUCACAAGCUGUUGCAUAGUCUUCAGCGAGGUGCGGCAUAACUUCCGUGUGAGGGGAAAUGAACUUCUCCAUGAAUACCUUCUCUCUCACCUUGAAAGCGGUAUAGUAGUAGCCUGGGUUGCACUUGAGCAAUCCAUUUUCCAUGAGAAACUUUACAACGUAGUACCUGGGUUUCAUCCAGCCCUCCAGCUUGUAAUUGAUAAUUAUUGACCGUUGAGCAACGUAGGUAGGUUCCAACCUGUUAGACUAUGUAUAGCUUCUGUACCUAUGUACGUAUAUGGUACAUAUUGUAACACAACCAUUAUAUAUAAUGAGAUAAGCCACCCCUAGAGGGUUGUGCUGGUUCCCCAAAACUUAUUGUCUUACAUGGUAUCACGCUAGGUUACGAUCGCUUCCGCUUCUAAACCCUAAUACCCGCACCGCCGCCGCAGCCGCCGCCGCCUUCACCGCCGCCGCCGCGCCACCGAUCGCGCCGCCGCCAUGUCGAGCGCUGCCACCACCGGUUCCACUGCUGCGGGCUUCCUCCCGGCCUCUCUUGCGGCUCUGCUCAACCUCCCGCUCGAUGCCGUCUCUGUUCCGGCUCCGAUCGGGACAAGGAGCAUCGGCUCCGUCUUCUCCAUGCCGCCGGCGCCCUCGCUUGGGCGUGACCUCGUGGUCCACACCGCGGCGCCGCCGUCCGCUGCGGACUCCGCAGGCAUCGUCCCGCCGCUCCUGCCGCAAGCGGAUCACACUGCCCCGCUGGCGGGGUUGGCGGCGUCCGCCCCGGCCGCGGGCCUUGCGGCGUCCGCACCGGCCGCGAGCUUUGCGGCGCCCGCCCUGGCUGCGGUCCCGCCUCCUCCCGCAUCGGCUUCGGUGCCUCCAGCUGCCUCCAUGGUGUUUGCACCCCAGGCAGCCUCCUCGAUGGGAUUGUCUUCGCCGCUGCCGUUUCACUUCGGUCAUCUCAUCACCAUCAAGCUCUCCGCCGACAACUACAUCUUCUGGCGUGCGCAGGUUCUCCCGCUCUUGGGGAGUCACUACCUGCUAGGCUACAUCGACGGAUCGCUUCCCUGCCCACCCGCGCUGGUAGACAGCAUGCACGGUCCGGUCUACAAUCCGGCCCAUCGCGUCUGGACGGGGCAGGACCAGGCGAACCUCUCCUCCAUCCAGGGGUCGCUCUCGCCGGCAGUUGUCGGCCUUGUUGUCUUCGCGAAGACGUCUCAUGAGGCCUGGACCAUCCUUGAGCACACCUUUGCAGCGCAGUCCCAGGCUCGUGUCUCUGCACUCCGUCGUCAGCUUGGAGAGUGUCAGAAGCUUGACUCCACUGCCACUGAGUUCUACAACAAGGUCAAGGGCCUCGCCGACACAUUGGCCUCCAUUGGACAGCCCCUCACCGACUCCGAGUUCAACUCGUUUAUUGUCAAUGGUCUUGAUGAGGAGUAUGAUGCCUUAGUCGAGAUCAUCAACGAGCGGGGCAACUCGACACCCAUGCUGGCACACGAGGUUUUCUCUCGGCUCCUUCUCACUGAGCAACGGGUCGAGACUCGCCGCACCAGGGGCACUGGCUCCCUCUCGGCCAACGCCGCCACCAAGGGUGGCCGCUCUUCUUCAUCACCCCGGUCUCCCUUGGGGCUGCCACCGUCGCCCUCCUCGGCCCCCCACCUACUGCGACCUUACCGGGGGCUGGCGUUCCACGUGUGUGUCAGCUUUGUGGCCGCGAUGGGCACUGGGCCUCCAAGUGUCAUAAGCGCUUCCAGCGAAGCUUCCUUGGUCUUGGCAAUGACGGCAAAGAUACACGCAACAAUGCCCGUCAGGUCGCCAUGGCUGAUCGUCCCGCGCCGCAGAAGCAACAGGGACACACUCAGUCCUACUCCAUCGAUCCACACUGGUACAUGGACUCUGGGGCGAUAGAGCAUCUAACCAGCGAGAUGGGGAAGCUUCACACUCGUGAACCCUAUCAUGGCUCCGACAAGAUCCACACCGCCAAUGGAGCAGGUAUGCACAUCUCUCAUAUUGGUCAAGCAUCUCUUCUCACUAGACAUGCCAAUAGGAGUCUUCAGCUUCGCAAUGUUCUUCGAGUUCCAUCUGUGACCCGUAAUCUUCUUUCAGUUCCUAAACUCACACGUGAUAAUAAUGUGCUUUGUGAAUUUCACCCUUUUGAUCUUUUUAUUAAGGAUCGGGGCACGAGGGACAUUCUUCUUAGUGGGCGGUUGUGCCAGGGCCUCUACCGUCUGGAGCAUCCUGGUGUCGCUCGUGUUUUCAGUGGAGUUCGGGUCUCUCCGUCACAGUGGCAUGCUCGUCUUGGUCACCCGGCCACACCUAUUGUCCGUCAUAUUUUGCGUCGUCAUGAGCUUCCUAGUUUGUCUAGUCAUAAAGAUGUAGCAGUGUGUGAUGCUUGUCAGCAGGGGAAGAGUCAUCAACUUCCUUUUUCGGAGUCCAGUCGUGAGGUGAAACAUCCUUUAGAACUUGUGUUUUCAGAUGUAUGGGGUCCUGCUCAGACUUCUGUCAGUGGUCAUAAUUACUAUAUCAGUAGUCGCUUUACCUGGCUUUACCUUAUUAAACGCAAAUCUGAUGUGUUUGAUAUUUUUGUUCAGUUUCAAAAACAUGUUGAACGUCUUCUCAAGCACAAAAUUGUUCAUGUCCAGUCAGACUGGGGGGGCGAGUAUCGCAACCUCAACUCUUUCUUUCAGUCGCUUGGGAUAGCUCAUCGUUUAGCAUGUCCACAUACACAUCAGCAGAAUGGUUCAGUCGAACGUAAGCAUCGUCAUAUUGUUGAAGCUGGUCUUACUCUUUUGGCCCAUGCAUCUAUUCCGUUUCGGUUUUGGAGUGAUGCUUUCACCAUUGCAUGCUUUCUCAUCAACCAUACUCCUACUCGUGUUUUAAACAUGAAGACUCCCAUUGAGGUUCUCCUUAAUGAACAACCUGAUUAUACCUUUCUCAAGGUAUUUGGGUGUGCUUGCUGGCCGCAUCUUCGUCCAUAUAACAAGCGCAAGCUUGAGUUUCGUUCUAAGAAGUGUGUUUUUCUUGGCUAUAGCUCUCUUCAUAAAAGUUACAAAUGUCUUCAUGUUCCCACUAAUCGUGUCUAUAUAUCUCGGGACGUCGUGUUUGAUGAGCAUGUUUUUCCCUUUGCCAACCUUCCUGUGUCCACUGUCGAACCACCAUCCCUGCAUUCAUCCUCUGUUGCUUCUGACCAAUUUGAUGAUGUUGCAUACUCUCCUUUGCUGUUACCUAACCAUCUCCACUGCUCGGUCCGUUUCGCCAGCGGCCGCCGAGUCGCCCGCGACUCGGCCCGUCACGCCGUCUUCGCCUGCGGCUCGGCCCGUCACGCCGUCUUCGCCCGCGGCUCGGGUCCUCAUGUCGCCUUCAUCAGCGGAUCGGCCUGCGACACCGGCCGCGCCACGGCCCACUAUGCCGAGCUCGCCAUCGGCCCGGUCUGUGAUGCCGGAGUCGCCAGCUGCUUCGUCUGCUCUGCCGGUUUCGCCGGUGGGUCGGCCUUCUUCGCCAACCGAGUCCGAGGCUACCGUGACUGGCUCCUCGUCACCGGCUGACUCGUCAACGUCGCCGUCCUCCAGCCCGUUGCAGGCUGCUCCGUCGACCUCGGUGGUUCCUGUGUCCCGACCACAUACAUGCAGUCGCAGUGGCAUUUUCAAACCUAAGGAACGUAAGGAUGGUACGGUUGCUUGGUUGGCUGCUUGUUUGGCUGCUGCUGUUGCGGAUCCAUCUUCUGAGCCUCGCUCAUAUCAGGCUGCCCUGCGCAUUCCACAUUGGCGAGAGGCUAUGGAGCAGGAGUUUCAUGCUCUUCUUCGUAACAAGACAUGGACUCUCGUUCCUCCACCACCACGGGUAAAUGUUAUUGAAUCAAAAUGGGUAUUCAAAGUGAAGAAGCAUUCGGAUGGAUCUAUUGAGCGUUACAAAGCGCGACUUGUUGCUCGCGGUUUUCGGCAGCGUCAUGGUCUUGACUAUGAGGACACCUUCAGUCCUGUCGUCAAGCCUACCACUAUUCGACUUCUUCUCUCCAUUGUUGUUUCUCGUGGUUGGUCACUUCGUCAACUUGAUGUGCAGAAUGCUUUUCUACAUGGAUUUUUGGAGGAAGAGGUUUAUAUGAAACAGCCGCCUGGUUUCUCUGAUCCUGAUCGUCCUGACUAUAUCUGUCGUCUUUCCAAAGCACUAUAUGGUUUGAAGCAAGCUCCUCGUGCCUGGCAUGCCUGCCUUGCCUCUGCCCUUCGUGCUCAUGGGUUUGUGCCGUCUACUGCUGACACUUCGUUAUUUCUUCUACAGAAGCCAGAAGUCACUAUGUAUCUUUUGGUAUAUGUCGAUGAUAUUAUCCUUGUCAGCUCUUCUCAGUAUGAUGCUGAUGCUCUUGUCUGCUCUCUUGGUGCUGAUUUUGCGGUCAAAGAUCUUGGGAAGCUUCACUACUUUCUUGGAGUUGAGGUCACUUCUCGUGCUACUGGUCUUGUCCUUACGCAGAAGAAGUACUCCUUGGAGUUGUUACAGAGAGCUGGCAUGCUGAAGUGCAAACCGACCACCACACCCAUGUCGUCUACCGACAAGAUAACAGCUGCUGAUGGUGAGCUUUUGUCUCCUGCGGAUGCCACAGAGUACAGGAGCAUUGUUGGUGGACUUCAGUACUUGACGAUCACGAGACCAGAUAUCUCUUAUGCUGUUAACAGGGUUUGUCAGUAUCUUCAGGCUCCCAGAGAUACUCAUUGGGCUGCUGUUAAACGCAUUCUUCGUUAUGUUCAGUUCAUCCUGACAUUUGGUAUGCAUAUUCGGCCGACUUCCUCUCGGGUCCUUUCGGCCUUCUCUGAUGUAGAUUGGGCUGGUAGCCCAGAUGACAGACGAUCCACGGGGGGUUAUGCAGUAUUCUUUGGCUCUAAUUUGAUCGCCUGGAGUGCUCGGAAACAAGCUACUGUGUCACGUAGCAGUACUGAAGCUGAGUACAAGGCUGUGGCUAAUGCUACUGCAGAGAUUAUUUGGGUGCAGUCUUUGCUUCAGGAGUUGGGUUUGUCUCAACCACAGCCUCCUAUUCUUUGGUGUGAUAACAUCGGUGCUACAUACCUUUCUGCAAAUCCAGUAUUUCAUGCCCGAAUGAAACACAUUGAAGUUGACUAUCACUUUGUACGGGAACGUGUAUCACAGAAGCAACUCCAGAUCAAGUUUAUCUCAUCUAAGGAUCAACUUGCAGACAUCUUCACUAAGCCUUUACCGCUGCCACAGUUUGAGGCUUGUAGGCGCAAUCUUACCCUUCUCAGUUCUUUAGAAAGUGGCUAAGAUUGAGGGAGGGUGUUAGACUAUGUAUAGCUUCUGUACCUAUGUACGUAUAUGGUACAUAUUGUAACACAACCAUUAUAUAUAAUGAGAUAAGCCACCCCUAAAGGGUUGUGCUGAUUCCCCAAAACUUAUUGUCUUACACAACCCCACCUCAGAGAUGAGGAAAUCAGACCUGCGCUGCAGUAAUUCCUUUGACUUCCUCAGCAGACACGGAGCGUUACACACAACAAUGCUCACCUCAGCGUCUGACCACCUGAACAUCUUCUUCAAGUAGGCCACAUUGGCGGCGAUCUUCUCCUCGCUGAGGAAUCUGACAGUAUCCAGCGUGUGCCUGAACAUCCUGAGCCACGAGGCAUGCCAAGGCCUUCGGCGCAUGCCACCAUCGCCCUGACGUGUUCUGGCUUGUUGCUCAGGACACCCCGCGCGCGGAGGGACAACUUGGUGAUAUCGCAAUCAUCUAGCCCGCAUUGCCGUAGGAGCGCGACGUUGGGUUUGACCAUCUCCUCGAUGCUGUGUUUUGGUUUUCGGUUUGCGUUUUUUCUCGCCCCUGAACGAGAUGGCCGAAAUUCGGCCAUUUCAAAAAUCUCGGUAAAAUCUCGGACGAAAUUACAAAACCAAAAUUUGAAUUUUAAACGAAAUUUGACUAAAAAUUGGCCGAAAUUCGGCCGAAUUUUUUGAAAACAAGCAGAGCAAAUGUACAGCAGUCGAACAACACUGAGGAGUACAUGUAUGCGUUACCAAACUAGCUUUGGGGAUUAAUAACUCCAAAAGAAAAGAUUGAAACAAGGAUACAGAGAGGUGAUCCAGAGUUGAGGAGUUCCCGAUGGAUUCAGCCGCAGCCCGCAGCCGGCAGAGGUCAGCAGCAGGGGCCGGUCGUAGGAACGGCGAGAACGGGGUAGGAGCCGCAUGCUCGAGCGGGGAGGCAGGUGCCGACGAGCGGAGGAGCCGCGUAUUGGCGCAUCGCCGCCGCCGCAAACACAGGGGCCGCAGGGGAUCGUGGUUAGUUUAGGGUUCACGAGUUCGGUUCGAUGCUUUUAAUCCAGGCAAACCGUGGGGAGGCCCAGAAGUUGGACUGGGCCAGAAAAAAGUUUCAAUCUGGGCCGAAAGUUUUGGCCGGCACAGACAUUUACCGGGUCGAGGCGAGAUGACCGAAAUUCGGCCGAAAAUUGUUUUUUUCGGCCGAAAAUCAAAACACAGCCUCGAUGUCAGCGCCGGCGAGGUAGCCUUGCUUGAGCACCCGGAAGAGGUUCUCCGAGGAGCCGAAUAGGAGCAGGUAGUACCGCAAAUUGGAAACAAUGGACCUGGAACAGAAGUGGGCGAAGGAGAGCGCGACGAGGCGCACGAUCUCAGUACGCGAGAGGCCGAGGCCGGUGAGCCCACGACGACGGGGGCUAGAGUUUUCUCUACUUUGGCGCAGAGGAACAACGGGUCCUUGGCGACGAGGGCGGCGACGUCGGUGCCGGAGAGGCCGAGGCCGGCGAGGAAGGAAAGGACGGCGUCGGGCUUGGACGAGGACUUGAGGUGGGAGAGCUUGGCGGAGGCCUUGAGUGCCUGGGGUCGGGUGAGGCCGAAGGUGGAGACGAGGUAGUCGUCGACGACGAAGCUAGGGUUUGGGGAAACGCCGGGCGCGGCGGCCGCGGAGAGGGGGCGGUGGAGAGGGGGGCCUGAGAGGUGGCGGGGGAAGAGAGGAGCCGCACGAGGAUGCAGCCACGGAGGCGGAGCAUGGCGGCGGCGGCGGCGGAGAGAUUGAUUCCCUAUGGAGGCGGGUGCGAAUGGGAUGGUGCUUCGGAGGCGGGGAUGCGGCGCCCCGGCGAGGCAGGUGAGGAACGGAGGAAGAGAACAGGAGGAGAGAUCGAAGAGGAUGGCACUUCGGCGGCGGCGGCGGCGCCGCCGAAGAGAUUUUCCGGUCCGCUGUGAGUGGAGAGGAAAAAUGGGAAAUGGCAGGUGCGAUGCGAAUGGAGGCUCCGCAAAUUGCAAUAUCACUGAAUCCCAGGGGUCUUUACGUCUUUCAAAAAUACAAAAUACAUUUAAAAAAACAUACAUAAUACAUUGAGCCUCAUGGAAACUUUCAUAUACACAUGGAAAAUAGAUAUCCCCUCCGUUUAAUAAUGUAGUGCAUAUAGAUUUUUGAAAGUCGGACUUUGCAAAUUAUGAUCAAAUUUAUAAAGCGAACUACUUAUACCUACAUUAUCAAAUAUAUAAAAUAUGAACCUACGUCUUAUGAUGAAUCUAAUGAUAUAUGCUUGACAUUCUAGAUGUAAAUGUUUUUCUUCACAAACUUGGUCAAAUUUUGUUAGAUUUGACUUUUCAAAAAAUCUACAUGCAAUCAUUAUGCAAUCGGUAUUAUAAGGAAAAUGACUUUGAGCGAUAAGAUUAUAUCACAAAAUAAGCUAUUAUACGACUUGUACUUAUCCUAUGAUUUUUUUCUGUAGGUAUAGUACUUCAUCCGUUUUUAUUUACUUUGCAUAUUAGAGUUGACUGAAGUCAAACUUUGUAAAGUUUGACCAAGUUUAUAGAAAAGAAUAUAAAUAUUUACCCUAACAAACGAAAAUCUGCAUCUGAGCCCGGGCUCAGAUGUUCCCGCUCAGAAAAAAAUUCAAAACAAAUUCUAGAAAAAUUCAAAUAAAUCCAAUUUUUUGUGUGGUAGAUAAUUUGAUGCGUGAGGCCCGCUUCAAAUUUCAACUCAUUUGGAUAUCUGAGGAGCUCUCGGCAAAAAAGACAAAUCGGAUCAAAACAGUUCGUGAACAAUAAACUUUUUUACAGACCCGAUUUUGUCUUUUUGCAGAGAGCUGCUCAAAUGUCCAAACGAGUUGAAAUUUGCAGCAAACCUCACGCAUCAAAUUAUCUAUCACACAAAAAAUGGAAUUUUUUUGAUUUUUUCUAGUAUUUGUUUUGAUUUUUUUCGUCGGAGCGAGUGCAGUUGAGCCCGGGAGCCAAAUUGGCUUAUAUGAUGUGAAAGUAUGUUCAAUAAUGAAUGUAAUGGUAUUGAUUUGUUAUUGUACAUGUUAAUAUUUUUGACUAUAAACUUCGUCAAAAUUUAUAAAGCUUGACUUUGACCAAAACUAAUAUGCGGAAUAAAUAAAAACGGAGGGAGUAAAUGGCUAUGUUUUUUUUUGUACGUAGUAAAUGGUUACUUUUUCUGAUUUUUUUUAAAUGGUUAUGCUUGCUAACCAAUCCAAUUCAAAUUAUAUGUCGCUCAAACGGAUGUAUCUAAUUAAUAUGGAUCGGAUGGAGCAGAAAAGUUCAUAUGGAUAUAUAUUUUCUCAAAACUUGAAAGUAUGAUUUCUACAAGUAAAAAAAAAUCAUAUGUGAACUAUGUUUGUUUUUAGCAUUUUGUGUGCGUUCAUGUUUCUUUUUCUCUCUCUUCAUUCUAGCCUCUUUUCCUCCACCUCACUCUGUUCUCACAUUGACAUUGUUGCCUUUUUCAGUGGACUCCUACCUAUCUUUUCUAACUUUUGCAAGGUGAGAAUUGAGAAGGUUAUUAUUCUUUAGUUUUAUGUGUAUAGCUAUCCUAGAGUCGAGAUCAAUUGCAUCGUGUCCACUUAUCCUCUAUAACACUAAGCUUCCUAGUUUUAAAAAGCCCACACUCAAUUAAGGUCUCCAAUUAGAAUUGGAUCAUCCGAUUUUGAACGGGUCAACAAUUUCUCAAAGCUUCAUAAUCCAAUUUUUUUAUACUAUACCAUAUGCUUCCUAAUUUUUAAGGCCUCACAAUUAAUUAAGAUAUUCAAUAUAGAUUGAUCAUCCAAUUUUGACUGGGUCAACAAUUUCUCAACCUCUCCAAUUGAAUUCUUUUAAUUCACUAUAUUCCAAAAUUUUGAAUCUCUUUCAUUCAAUUGAGGUAUUCAAUUUUGAUUUGGUUGAAGAUUUUGAGUGGGCCAAUGAUUUUCAAAUCAAUCAGCUGCAACUGACCUAUAAAAACAUAUCAAUCCCAUGCACCCUUCCACCACAUAGAAAAAAGAAACGUCACCAUGUGAUAUUGUAGUAUCAAUAUAGUACAUGCAACCACCAACGCAGAAAUUUUUCCACAUAAAUAUAGGUUGGUUAGCGGAUGACACAGUCAUCUCCCCACCCGCCUAACUUAAUAUUCCAUCAGUUAUAAAAUAUGAAGGGUAUUAAUUUUGUAGAAAGUAAAACUUCUUUAACUUUGACCAAGUUCAGAGCAAAAAUAUCAACAUCCACAAUAUUAAACAAAAAAAGUAUGGAAAUUCAUUUCGUGAUGAAUCUAAAAAUACUGAUUUAAUCUUAUGAAUUUUGAUAUAUUUCUCUCAAAUUUGAAAAAACUUAAAAGGUUUGGCUUUUCAAAAAAAUACACCUUAUAUUAUGAAACAGAGUGAUUAGUUUCUUAAGAUACCCAAUAACAUGAACGGCGCAGCAAAGCGCGCAGAACCCUUCUAGUUAGUAGUAUAUCUAAGAACAAUUAGCAUCCCAUUGAUGAUCGAUAAACCUUCUUAGUCCAGCUAGUGGUUGGUUGUCUAGAGUAUAGCUGGCCAAAUGGGCCGGUUUUUUCGGGUCGGCCCGUGAGCACGCCGGCACGGCCCACCUUGGGCCAGGCACGGCACGGGCCAAACGAGCCAGGCCCAGCACGCGGCACGCCCUAGGCCGUGCCUGGGCUGGAGGCUGGGCAUGCGGGCCGGCACGGCACGGCCCGAUUAUGUUUUUUAUAUUUGUUAUACAUUUAUAUAUGAUCCAACAUGUAAAAAUAAGCUAAAAACGCUCAAUGCGUCAAAUAAUAGGCUAAAAAUAUGCGGCCCACCGUGCUAAAUGGGCCAACGUGCCGGCUCGUUUACUAACGGGCCGUGCCUGGGCCUGGGGGCGCAGCACGCGGGCCGGCACGGCACGGCACGUAUAGUAAUCGUGCCCUGGCGGACCGUGCCGGACCAGGCACGAUUAUGAUGGGCCGGGCCAUGCCGUGCCGGGCCAGCCCGUUUGGCUAGGUAUGGUCUAGAGAUCUAUAUGGAGUCAGUUGAGAUGGGAUGGUCAGCCAAGUGGGUUGAUCAAUGCUCCUCUUAAAAUUCGAAGCCUAAAGUAGAUGUGCUACUCGAGAAAUAAAAAGACCAACGUAGACCGUACCAACAUCUAAUAUUUGACGUCACAUUUAAAUUUGAUACUAUUCAUACCCAUAAUUGUCCCUUUGCUCAUCGAAUUAUGCAUCUUAUAUAAAUGUUGUAAAUGAUCAAUUUUUAUAAUAAUUUUAGGGUUGUAGUUCGGUGCAUAGGUAGCUCAGAGGAACCAUAGUCAUCGCUUCCUCUCCAAAAAAGCUUAGGGUUCCUAUGCCUCCCGCUGGCGCAGCUGCCGGUCCACCUCGUCUCCGGUGGCCCUAGGGUCAUGGGGACACGGUGAAUCUCAUCCCUUACCAGAGGGCUUCGUUUUUAGACGUUUCUUUGAAUUUUGUUAGGGUUGUGUCUUGCUAAUUAAGGAGGGCAAGACAACGACGGCUUCCUGAAGAUUGAAUAAGAUUCUCCCCGCCUAGCCCCCGUCUCGAUGGCGCAUCUAACAUCGUCGAAGAGUGUGUGGAGGUGUAUCUCCGCCAGAUCUCGCAGGAUUCGGUAGGUGGUUUGUCUUUGGUGGAUCUACUCGGACCCGGUCUUCGUUCGUCUACGUUUGUGUGUCGCUAGAUUGGAUCCUUCCGAUCUAUGGGUCUCUUCAUCGGCGGGGGUUGCUAUUCUAGUGCGCUGGUCCUACGAGGCCUUAGCACGACAAGUUCCCGACUGUGUACUACAAUAAGUUCUGCCCGGCUCCGGGGAGGGAAGGGCGAUGACGACGGUGCGUCUUCGGCUCGUUUUAAUGCUUGUAGUCUUUGCUAGAUGGUCUAAGGAUGAAUGUGAUUUUUAUUAUUCCUAUUGUUCAUUGUAUUGUCAUGAUUGAAAAUGAAUAUAUCAAAUGAUUUCUCAUAGAAAAGAAGCUCAUAAGAACCAUUAAAAGGACAAUCGUGUGGUCUCCCUAGACUUUUUUUUAGAAAAGGAGGAAGACCCCCGGCCUCUGCAUCUGAGCGAUGCAUACAACCACUUUAUUAAUUAUUCUCAAAAGACCUUACAAAGAAAUACAACAAUAAGUCUGAAGCCAUCAUCUAGGCAACAUCUGUUGCUACUCCUAUUCAUUUGAUGAAGGGAUGCUGAUAGUCUGGGCUUAAUACCAAACAGACCUCGCAGCCAAACCUAACAUCUAAGACCUGAGUUCCCAUCCAGGACGCCUGCCGGGUAUGGGUCACCCACCGGUCCGGCACACUCCUCAACAUGGACGCCUGCCGGGUAUGAGGCCGCCGCAGCCACCUGCCACCAAUCCAUCUUCAGAGAUGUAGUGUUGCAUCUACCUUGUCCGGUCUAGCUGCCGUCGACGCCACCACGAUGCCAGACAACGCCACCAUCCUGCGCUCGUCCAUCAACACACGCCCAGCAGCAAGAUCCCGCUGCUCUAUGCCCCUGAGACCCGCCAUUGUCGACGUAUCAGAUGCAACGCCGCUCCUCCUUCGCGAACACCACCUUCUACCACUGGUCCUAUCCCCUCCACCUGUAGAUCCUCUGAACUCCCAACCGAGCCCUAGUGCCCCUGACGACACCUCCAGGAAGGUCACGACGCAAAAAGCGCCGCUGCCGCCAGAUCCGAAAAGGAUUGAAGGUUUUCACCCGGCCGGGGAUCGGGGUGGAUAGAUUGGGCCCUCAGCUGCGCCUUCAUGAAGGAAAGCGGCACCCAUGAGCGUCGCCGCCGCCGGGCCGGCUAGACUGGCCAAGGUUUUCCCCGGACCCAAAGUACACCACCAGGGCUGACCACCACCGGAGCCUGCAGCCGUAAACCACCAGGACGACGACAGAGGCAGCAGGAGAAAGGGGAACCAUUAAAAGGACAAUCGUGUGGUCUCCCUAGAUGGUCCUUGGAGGGAGCGAUGCAAUUUCAUUUCCUUUUUAUUGCAUUCUCAUGGAUCUAUGGGAUACACAGAUUUGGAAUAGCCAUGCGUUAUAUAGGUUUGGAAAAGAUGAAUGGGCAGGACAAAGCCCAUCAAGGUCCACAGUUGGACAUGGUAUUUUUCUCUUCCCUGAUCUUGUGUGGUUGUUACAUUACAACGAGGACUAGAUGCAUUCAUGAACCUGAGGAGACUAUAUACGGUGAUUAUAUCGUGGCUAUCAUAUUUACCUAUUUUACAAAGAAUGAUCGGAUAUAAUUUACUGGUACAAUCCAUUGUGUGCCUUUCACGCUUCCGUCAGUUUAAUUUCCUCACAUUUUAAGUAGUCUUGUGAAGUUGUGAUCAGGUAGCUCGCAAUCUGAAUUUCUGUAAUGAAUUUUUUUUGGUCCAACGAGUAAAACGUAGACUUGGUGACCCUCAAAAGGGAUGAUAUUUUACAUAACGAGUAAAUCAUGAUGUCCUUAGAUAUUUCUUAUGAGUAUUUCUUCUUUUCUGCGGAAAAGUUUCUUGUCUUCCGAACUCUUGGAUGUGGGCAGAACUCUUGAUGAGCCGAGGCACCCGCGGCAUGCCAUUGUGAGUCAAGUUUGCCAUUGUUUGAUGGGAAGUUUUCAAGUGCUACAUGUAGAAGGACGCUAUAGUGGCUGCAAUCUUGCUGCUAAGUGACACGUACUGUCACCCUGUUUCUAAUGAAAAAAACUGAAGAACAAUGACUCAUUUAAACAUUGUUCAAUUUUGUGGUUCAUGAGCCUUUUCUUCAAAGUUUACUUAAAAGUUGGGUUAUUAGGUAAAAAAUGGUUCCUUUCCUUUUGUGCUUGCAAUUUAUUGUCCUGACAAAAACACUUUUUAUUGCAGUGCUAAGAAAAUGCGUCUACUACUUGACUGAACUAAAUACUCUUGAUAGCAAACCCUCUCUGGGCAUAUUCGUAGAUUCAAGGUGAGGAGACAUGCCAGCAUACAGACCAGCAACAUACAUGGCACAUGUACGACGUUCUAACAAGAGCAUAAAGUUGAUUGAUUCUUGAUAGCAUCACCUGAAUAUAUCACUCACGGAUUCAUGAAUGUUCCCCGUUGCAAUGCACGGCCAUUCACCUAGUAAAGGCAAUGAUUUGUUGGUAGUAGAGGCAUCUCAUGUUUCAAAGGGUUAAACCUUAGCCGUCGUGACCCGGCUCCAUGGCUGGGUCAAUCUCGCACCUCUGUUGGUGCCGAACCCUAGGCAAAUUCCCCCAAAUCUCUUGUUGUUUCUAUUGAUUGACCGAAUGUGAGGAGCAAUAGUAGAUCAAUAACUCUCGUAUAACCGAGGGAAAAAGAAAUGAAGAGAAGUUGGCGAAAGUAUCAAGUGGUACAUCUACUUUUUAUAACAUCACAUGAAGCCGGCGAAAAGGAAAGCCGAUCAACGAAGAAACUGCAUAGGGGACCUAUCAUGAGUGAACAUUGCGUGGGCGCCAUUGGCCGCAUCUCAUCAUCUUGUUGUGUAGAAGAAGAAAUGACUGCCGAUGCUGCUGGUGCCUCCAUCUCUAUGACCUUGCCGUCCAAGCCCGCAUUAGCAACAAACACGUAGCACUAGAGCACGGGAGGAGAGUUGAUCAGGGAAAUCGCCUUUCUUGACGACAGGAGAAUUAGUGAUGGGCGACUCCACGCGACGCUGAUGUGAUUUCAGGCCACACUAAAGGAUGUCGGAGAAGGGGGCCAUAGGACGAACUCAACCGCAUCGGUAGUGGGCUUGGUGGAUAUUGUGUCGAGGGCUCGGGGACGCACUCGGUGAUGGUGGUGGACCUCGGGGAGGGGGGCCUCAUACACGUGGAUGCAGGGGAAAAGAGGGUGCACGGGCUUGAAGGCAUUACUCAUCCACCUCUUCUGGCAAAGAGAGCUCAUCGGGGCCAACCGCGUGAAGGAGGAGCUUGAGGUAGCUUGGAGGAGGCGACGACGACAACCAGAUCCAUCUGGCAAGCCAGAGUGGAGGCAUCCCACGUGGGAGCAGUGAUUUCGGUGCCUAAGCUUAGAUGCACCUGCUAUUAUGUUUGUUCAUUGCUGCAUGGAGAUUCAGGAAAUGGGGCAUGAGGUGGCAUUGCUAGGGCGUGGAAAAUCCCCAAAAUGAACUAUACAUGCAUGAAUAGUGUGAUACAUGUGGGUCUAUCGUGUAGCACACGAGGAGGGUUCGAACGAAGGACAGACGGUGCCAUCUUGGUUGGAUUCUGAUCCAUGGCACCUAAUCGUCUGCAUUCAUCUAAGUCGUGGCUCACUCUGCUGCCUGUGGCAUGACUUUGACACUUUGAAUCCGAGUCAUGGCCUAAAGAUUUGUGUAGCUCCAGUUGGGGCCUGCGGUGUAGGAUCGUCGGUACGCACACCGAAUGUCAUCCACGACCGACGUCGGCCAACAGAUUGCUAGCUUACUAGACGCUACAAGAGGUAGCGUCCUUCGUGAAGUUUGUGUGCUUCAACACCAACCAGGUCAUCCUAAGCCGUCAUGGACAACCCAUUCAUCUACGUGGUUGACUUCAACAUUGGAGACGACUUCUCAUGGUCGUUGCUCAUGUCACACCUUGCUCACCAUGGCAACAAGCUGUUUCAUGUCACGUCACUUGCCACCACAUUAAUGCACCGCGCGGAUACGCAUGCACCUACAAUCGUGCAUGGUGUCCCUCAGAGUUCACGCGCGUCCCUAGGGGCUCCCAUUCCAGUACGACGAGAAGGACCUCCUGGUCUGGGCUGGAAGUCACGUAAUGGUACCUACAACAAUCUCGAAAAGAGUAGAAGGCCUGGAUUUCGAGAGCAUCUGAGCUCGCACUUAGAAAUCUAUUUUUGUUCCCACGGUCCAUACAUAGAGAGAAACUAGAAAAGAAAAUGCAAAACACGCAUACAUGCAUGCAUGCUUCCACAAAUGGGUUACCAGAUACCUUUCUGGGGCUCUGGUGACCUCACAUUCAUUGUUGACCCCUUACGACCUCACAAUCAUGGGAGAGAUUUCAUGACCGCACACUGUCUCUAUAAAAGCCUAUCACCUCUAUGAAUCAUGUGGCUCCAUCAUUUCAAAUCCUCCGCGCGCCUAAGAUACCACUUGAGAAAUUACUAAUGGCCAACGGAAAGAAUGUCAUGGCCAUGUUGUUUCUCACCACCAUUGUGGCGGUGGCGGCCACAAGGCCAGCCGAGACCUAUGGCGCUGCGGAGGAGAACACAUUGAAGAUGGCUACCCCCAGCAAGAAAGGGGUUGACGCUACCUUAGCAGCUACACGUGUUGUUGCCGCCGAGAAGUCCAUCAAGAAGGCUGAAAGCGCCACCACACCAGAAGAGGCCGCGACUGCCAAGCAAGAUGGAGCAAAAUCUGCUUCUGCUGCAUUAAAGUACAAUGCCAUCUCUCAGCAGGCAAAUGGUAAAGGUUCUUCUACCUCCCUAGGCAGGAAAGAAGCAGCCGGUACUUUAGCCGCCGCACACUAUGCCGCCGCCGAGAAGUCCAUCAAGAAGGCCGAAACCGCCAAGACACCUGCAAAGGCCGUGGCUGCCAAGCGAGACGCAGCAAAGUCUGUUGACAAUGCAUUAAAGUAUGAUGCCAUCUCUCGGAAAGCAGCUGGUACAAGUUCUUCUACCUCCCCCAAUAGGAAAGAAGGCACCACUGAUGCUGCUAAGAUGUUCACCAAGAAGGCUGAAACCGCUACCACACCUGAAGAGGCCGCGAAUGCCAAGCAAGCUGCAGCCAAGUCUACCGCUGCUACAUCAAAGUAUGGUGUCAUUUCUCAGCAAGUAGCUGGUACAAGUUCUUCUACCUCCCCUAGCAGGAAAGAAGCUGCCGGUACCUUGGCAGAUGCUCACAUAGCUACUGCCGAGAAGUCCAUCAAGAAGGCUGAAACCGCCACCAGACCUGAAGAGGCAGCAUCCGCUAAGAAGGAUGCCGCGAAAUCUGAGGCUAAUGCAAUGCAGUACGGGGCCAUCUCUCAGCAGGCCACCGGCAAAAAUGGUGCCUAAGUGGUGCCUUAAACACCUAUUCACGCGCAACAUCAUCUACAUACUACCAUGCACGCAAAAUAGCAGCAUUGAGAUACCACGUUAUGCUAAUUCUCAUGCAUGCAUGCUUUGUUUAAACGUUCACAUUAUGAAUCAUGUAUUAAUGUCUUGCUUGUUUUAUUUUUAGUAGUAAGACACGCUUGACUUGCUUUAAAAAAAAUACAACAAUCGAUGUAUACAUGUAUCAUCUGAAAAUUAAUAAUAUGAGUUCCACCACAAUUUGUGUCUUUUUGUCAUAUUUUGGGUGCAAUCAAUGCACACAUCCAAUACACAAAAUUGGACGAGUCAAUGUGUUAUGGCUCCAUGGAGCGGCGAAUCAUGUUUUAUUGUCUUGCUUGUUUUACUUUUAGUAGUAACUAG
rnacentral:lncRNA from 1 species